UGGCCUUCCCAUCCUAGUUGACAUUCUAACAAAGUUUAUCUGUUGACAGCUGAUGAAUCUGGGGAUCCCUUCCCUGAACCCAUAUGUGUUUCCAUAGAUCUUACAGUCGCAGGUUUUUUCGCAAGCAAUUUCUAAACUCAUUUUCUCAGUGAUUCUAAACAAAUCAUACCCUAAAAGCCUAAACGCCAAACCCUAAAUCAUAAACUCUAAACCCUAAAAACCUAAACCCUAAAUCCUAAAACCUAAACCCCAAAACCCUAAGCCCCUAAAAUCCUAAAUGCCAAACCCUUAAAUACUAAACCCUUAAAAUCUAAACCCUAAACCCUAAUUUCUUACCAUGUAAUCCUAAACCAUUAACCCUUAACCCUAAAUCCUAAAUCUCAAAUCUCAAACCCCAAACCCUAAAACCCAACCCCCAAUCCCGAAACUCCAAUCCCUAAAUCCUAAACCCCUAAUACUAAUCUAGAAUGUUUAUUAAGAAAUAACUUGAUAUUCAAAAUCAACGUUACAAGAGUGGAGAAUCCCUAGUCUGCUCUAAUCAGUCUAACAUAAGCAAAGUUACCCGGGGCAAUCAUCACAGAUGAUCUUCUUGCCCAAUAAAUAAAGAAAUAGAAAUAUAAACAAAGAAAAGAGAAGAAAGGAAAGGAGAGGAGAGUGCGUACCCUGAUAAUCUUGACUGCUGCUACUGGUUCUGAGGAGGUUGCUGCUGCUGCUGUAGGUUUGGCGGCGGUGGGGGCGUCCUCCCAGGUCUCAGCGGGGCAAACAUUGGGACGGUUCAUCAAGACAUUGCUGUCCUCAAACCCUAAUCAGGAAGAGGGGUACUCCACUAAUAGGGGACAAUUGCAUUGAACCUGACUGUGAGGAACCUUGAUCUUAGAAAUAGAGAAAUUAUACAACUGCUAUGCUCAUUUGGAUCGUACUAUCUAAUCUGAGUAAAAUGGAGAUUGAUUAAAAAAUACUAAAAUAGAGAUCAUGUUUCAAAUUUUAUCUCCUAAGAAUCUACAACAAGAAAAUGCAUGAUUUCCUAACCAGAUUCACUAUAAGAACUUAUAAGAGUUAAAUGGUAGCGGUCAUAAGCAGAGAAUGACAAAAUAGAGGCACCUACAUUUGCAUAGUCACUCUCUUUCAGUAAUAAAAUACAGGGUGGCAUCUUUCCUCCCAUAUUAUCAGUAGACCAAAAAAAAAAAGAAGCAAAGUCACUUAACAACCCACAUAUAACCACGCAUGCAAUAAGAAAGGGUCUAAAUUUGAAGCAAUCCCAUACAAUUUUCUUUUUUGCUUUUUUCCACAAGUUUGUCCCACAUACAUUAGUAAAAUAGAAAGAUCCAUUGCAAUUAACCAACAAUUAACAGUUUGAACUCUGAGACAGGACUUAAAUGGCAUGCAUACUUUGUUUCAGGAUAGAACUAAAUGUAUAACUCCUAGAACAAUAAGUUUUCAAAUAUUGAAAAAAGUAGCUAUGCUUGAUUUCAUUAAAAAAAUUACACAUACCAUGAAGUUGAGCAGUAGAAAGAAUAAACAUGAAGUUAAAGAUGAAAUUUGAAGUUCAACAAGUAAAAUAUGUAUAUCUUACUCCAUAUUUCUAGAAAUUUUUACUUAUUGACUAGAAAAAUGAAAAUAAGGGGAGGAAGAAUUUUUCUAAAAGAAAAACAAAGAAAGUAUAUUGGAGGGCAUAAAAUAUAUGUUGAUAGAUACUUCAAAUAUAAUUGGAAAAAAAGAAGGUUUUCUUCAUCUGAGGUUGCAAGUUUAAAAUUUUUAGUCUCGAUCAAGGCCAAAUAACAAAACUAGAAGAGUUAAAAGAUAUACAAAUGAAUUGCAAAACAAGAAAUGCCGUACCAGUUGGUACCGGUGUGUGCCUACUAUACCAUACCGUACCAGUAUCGAAUCGGUAUACAGUAUGAGGGGCAUACCAAGUAUUGAUACGCCCAACUAACCCCCAUACCAAGCAUACAGACAUAGUAAUAGAUUGGUACCGGUACGGGGUCCAGUACCAAGAUGGCAUAUCUUGUUGCAGAAUACAAAAUGAUAAGACUUUCAAUUUUAUUUUAAAUAAAAAAUAAAGAAAAGCUUCGUUUGAUCUGCAAAUUAAAAGUCAAUGUGUUUUAGAUACAAUUAAGCAAGUCGGCAGACUGAAUCCAGCUAAUCCUAAAAAAAUCAGAUUCUGAGACCUACUGUGUUGACUUUUCUAAGAUAGUAGAAAGUACAUCGUAUACAUACUCUUCUUAUGACAGAAGAUAACAAAAGAACAUCACCAUUUGACUUAUAUUUAUUACGGGGCACGAGAGCAGAUAAAAUCAUUAGCAUAUAAAUACCAAAAACUCAAAGGCGUUUGCAGCUUCUUUCGUGUAAUCCAACUCGCCAACUAAACCUUUGCCAAGCUCAUGAGCAUAGAGACUAAGAUGACCCUGUCUUUUUGCUACCUUCCUCAAAAAUGUUAGCUGCAUUGAUUAAAUUAAAAGUUUAUGAUACCUUCCAACAAGAAUAACAAUCCUAACAUAGUUUGUGCUUUCUCUUUAAAUCUUCAACCAAAAGAUAUGUUUUGGAUAUUCCAGUUGCACCAAUGAAGGACACUCUAUAAGAGGAAGCUGACAGAACUUAUCAAUGAGGCAACCUUUUCUGGAUAUCCAAAGCAAAUAUUCUUGCAAUUUUUUAUCUAGCUGCAUUAAAUUAAAGUAAUAUGCUAUAUUCUAACAAGAAUAACAACCCUGAGAUCAGUUUUUGGUUUCUUUUUAAUGAUGGAAUACCUGACAUCAAGUUUAGUAGGGUGAGUAUUUGACCUAUAUGUUACUUGUAUAAGUUGUUUUAAAUUUUCUUAGUAACAAAAUAGUUUCAACUUUUUUCUUCUCUUCUACAGUCAUGACACCGUGCUAUUUUAUCAUUCAUGUGGUGUCAUGUGAAUUAUUAUUGUUAUGUUAGGAUGGAAUGUCAGCUAAGCCUUAGGUUCGCCGUACCGGUACCGAACCCCGUACCGGUGCCGCACUAGUAUAGGUGUACCGAGUGUCGGUGCUGUACGGUAUGCAGUACGCCAGGCAUACCGACAUUAGCGUACCGAUACCGAUACCCAUCGUUAUGGGUACGGUACGCCUAGUACGGAUCGGUACCGACCGGUACAGCAUACCAGCUGCUAAGGUCUUGUAUCCAUAUUGAUCAAGGUUCUGAAAGUGCAUGUAUGAGGACAUUAGCUUCUGGGUUGGAAUCAUGAAUUAGACUAAAACAACAUGACACUAUUGUAGGUUCUUUUACUUAACACUGGAAGCUAAAAGAAGCAAGAAUAUAUGGCAUAACUUACUUGUUUAGAUCAAACAAGUAUUAGAAUAUUAGAGUGACAAGGAUGAUAACAUCCUUAAAAUGUUUUACAGCACCAAACAUCCAAAUAUAAGGCACCACCAUAACAUAUGUGUGACUUCUACACUUACUAUCUAAUACAGUUUCCUUUUCACCAAACAUCAUGCUCUUUUUAUAAUUUUACUUUUAGAAUUUAAAUUUAGUUUUAAUCUGUUUUUAUUGAAACCUAUUUUACAUGAAAUGAAAGCAGAAAUACUUUGGCUUGAGGAACAACCAACACAUGGCCCAAAACCAAAAUUUAUACCUUGAAUUUCAUUCAUGUGCUUGUUUUGGUAACACUAGGUUUUAACUAUCAUACCCAGUUAUUCUUUUAAAACUCAAAUUUGUUGCUACUUUAACAAACAUCUAGAAAUAGCAUGCACUAAUUGGUUUUUUGGGAUAUCAAAAUUCAAAGAUUAGUACACCUGUAAGGCUGUAACAAUAAAUAAAAAGUUGGGGCUUGAAGCCAAUCGUUGGUGAAGGCUUAUUACCAUAGAAAACACCCCCAUCUAUGCACAAGCAGCUCUUAUACUUGCAAUUGCUUUUACCCACAUGAAAACAUUUCAUCAAUAUACAAUUUCAAUGUGCCUUUUUCUGAUUACCCACCUAAUAAGUUCAUUUGGCUUUUCGAUCAUAACUACUUUCCACAUCCACAAAAAUCAUGUGCAGCCUUUUCUUUCUACGAAUAUUAUAUUCAUCAUUUACCUGAGAUAAUUAUAUUCUUGGCAUGAUGUUAAAUUGGUAUUCUGAGUUGAUAUUACUUGUUUUUUUUAACCUUUUUUUUUUCUGAACACCCUUUAAAAUAGCUUGACGUCAUGACUCACAAAUUUAUAUAUUGUUCUUAUAUGUUAAUAUUGUUGUGCAUUUUUUCUUCAUUUAUAUAGUAUCCUGUCACUUGUAGGAUCUCAUGAGAUAGAUUCCUCUAUUUUGUUUGCUCCACUCAUUUUCAAAUGAUGAUCUGUUACUUCACCAUGCUGAUACAAUGAUUGUUAUGCAACAAUAAUAAGUCAUCUGAUAUUUGUAACCUGGAUGAUCAUUUUCAUUCUUGAUUUAGAAGAGGCUAAGGAUCCUCCAUUUAGUGGCAAUGUUUGAUGAAACUAACAUUAUCAAUAUGGAAUUGAUCUUUAUAUUGUUUGAUUCCAAUUGUGGAUUCUUGAGUGAUGGCAUGAUUUUGCCAUAAGUGCUCUGCUUAUGGAUGCCCAUUGUUUUGAACUUUUGGUCUUGUCUUUAAGAAGUCUAAUGAACAAUCAACUACAAUAUUUUUAUUUGACAAAUCUUCAUUCUUGAUUGUAGGCUGUCCAUGUGAUGAAGCUUCAAUUUUAUAUUCAUAUCACAAUGAUUCUUCAGUUUUGCGAGUCUUGACCUGUGGUUUUGCCUCAAUUUCUUCAAUACCUAAUGCUCCUGCUAUUUUAUGUAUUGUAGCAUUUGUUGACAUCACAUCAUUACUGAUAGAUGUCACUUUUGUGUCCAACUUCCCAAAAAUAUUUUUCUUGUAUUUUACAUACUGGUGAAGAUCAUUCAUUUUGAAACCCAACUCCUCAUUUCAUUAACAUGUUAAAGGGGAAAGAAACAAGAAGCAAAUAGAAAGAAUAUCAAGAAAUAAAACAAGGUAGGACUGUUUAGCUCUGAUACUAAAAUUGAUGCAGGACAAUAGGGGACUAGAUUUGUUUCUGGGCGAUGUUGGACCUAGAAGCGAUAGAUUAGGGUUUUGGAAAAAGGAUUUAGUGGCAAAAGGACCUAGGAGAGUUUUUUAAGGGCUACUAAAGUAUGGAAAGAAUUCUAGUAGUCUUAAGGAUUGAGGUACAACAAUAUAAACUGAUUAAAGAUCCAAGUAUAAUCAGAUCUAAGAUCAGUUAUCGAUCAUAUAAAAUAAAUAGUAAUAAUAUGGAAUCAUAAGGAAAAUAGAAGAGCAUAGUGCAAAGAUAGAAGAACAAAAGGGAAGAAGAAUAAGAAGAAAUAAAGAAAACAUCACAGAAGGGGAAGGAAGAUAGCUGAACCUUGGCUUCUUUGCUUUGUUUCAAUCAAAUCAUCUCGAAAACCAUCUUGAUAAUCAGAUCUCAAGAUAUAGACUCAAAACCUUAGCAAUGUUAAAUUUUGACCCUUGAACUCAACAAAUUCUAGCCAUCAAUUGAAAUAUAAGAAAAAAAUUUCUAAAAGACAUAAAAACUUUUAUAAGUUGUUGCUACGGUACCAUAAAAAAUACCUGUGAAUGGUACUCUCUACAGUAAUGUCACAACAACUUGAAAUUAAGAACUUUUAUACAUUACUUAGGCCCUAUUUGGGGGAGCUGUUGGAAGUAGAGCUAUCUGAAGUAAAGCUUUUAUAAAAAACUGUUUGCUGUUUGGUAACUACAUUUCUAAAGUGCUGUGGCACUUUAACAUGUGUUUGGUAAAUAAACUAAGAAAGUACUUUUAUAUGACAAAAUUACCAUAAAGGAUAUUGCAUUGUAUUAUACAACAAAGCAUAAUAAAAUAUAACAUAUAUUAAUACAUAAAUAUACGAUAUAUAUAAUAUUAUUGUAAUGUAAAAUAAUAUUAUUAUAAUAUAGCAUAAUAGUAAUAUAGUUAUUAUAGUAAAUUAAUUUUUCAUAAUAUAACAUAAUAUUAAAUUAUUUAACAUAACAUAUUUAUUUAUGCAUUUAUUUAUUUAUUUCCUUUUUUUCUUCUCUUUUUUCUUCUUUUUCUUUCCUUUUCUUCUUUUUUUUCUUUUCUUUUUUCUUCCCUUCUUCUCCUUUCUUCUCCUUCCGCGAGGCCGGCGACGCCGGAAGGGGGCCGGACCACGGGAGGGGGCCGGGACGGCGGGCCGCGGCAACCAUGGAAGGGGGCCCGGGAGGGGCCAGGAUGGGGAGGCGCUGGCCAUGGCUGCCCCUUCCUCCCCUUCCUCUUUUUUUUGUUUGUUUGUUUUACCUCUCACCGCCCGACGGCUGUGGUGGGUCGUAGCGGCGAGCCGGACGUCGGUGCCGGCUCGCCGGAGCGACAUGCCACAGCGGCGGCCACGGGUGGUGGCUGGCGUGGUGGCUGCCACCGUGGGCAGCCAUGUGCUGCCUGCUAAAACAGAAAAAAAAUAGGGACGACGGCUUUGAGAGGAAGAAGAAGAUAGAGAGGGAGAGGGAGGGGGGGUGGGUGAGAGAGGAAGAGGCGGUGGCCAUGGCUGCCCCUUCUCCCCUUCCUUUUUCUUUUUUGGUUUGUUUUACUUCCCACCUGGCGGCUGCGGUAGGUCGCGGGGGCAAGCCGGGGAGGUGGCCAACGUGGUGGCUGCCUCCCAAAACAAAAUAAUAAUAAUAAAAAAUAUAGGGACGACAACGUUGAGAGGAAGAAGAAGAUAGAGAGGGAGAGGGAGGGGGAUGGGUGAGAGAGGAAGAGGAGGUGAGAUGACGGUUUUGGGAGAAAAAAGUGAGAUUUAAAUGGGGAUAUUUUGGUCCAAAAAAUAGGUUCCCGACAAAGCGGAAAACAGCGUUUUCGGAAAGCUUCAAAUUGGAGCUUCUCCCCAAAAGCUAUUUUCAGCUUCCCAAAAAAGCUGAAACAGCUUUCUGAAAAUUUUCAAACACUAUUUUUUAUCUAAAAAUACUUUUGGAGGGUCAGAAAGUGCUUUAUGGCCCUCCAAAAGCUCCCCCAAACAGGGCCUUAAAUUGCUUGAUAAAGCAUGUGACUGCUUGGAUCCUUUACAUCUGUACUCUCCCACAUCAAUAUGCUAAUGAGUUAAAACUUAAAACCAUAAAAAAAUGAUAGAAAAUUUAUUAAAAAUCUUCCUACGUCCACAUAUAUGUUUUAUUCUUCCCCCUUAAUCUAACCCAUGCUAUGGUAAUUGUAUCAUGCACAUUAUUUCCUAUCAUGGCUUGAUCCAUUGAUCUUACAUCUUGUCAUAUCAUGUACAGUGUUCUUCUGUUAAACAAACACUACAGUGGUUGUAAUUUGAAAAAGGUACCUUCUGCUGGAAGCUGGGAAACACAGUAAGAACUCAAUAUAAAGGAAUCCAUUGGAUAACUUACGUACAUAUAAGACAUUUUGAUGAAACCCGAUUGAGGCAUUUAUAUUUGCUUGUCUGGCUACUGCCUCCAUCAUAUUCAUAGUUUGAUUUUACCUGACUUCUGCAUCCAUCUAAACAUUGCUGGUGCCUUUGUAUGGUCCUUGUCGCUGUUGCUUCCCUCUGCCAGCUUUCUCGCAUUUGCCUCCGCUACAAUAAUUGCUGCUGCUGCUGCUGGUAUGUUGCCGCUACCUUACUAUGGCCACUGCCACUGGUUGCUGCCCUCAUUUAGUUGUCCUGAGCUCUGGCAUCACAGAUAAACGGUGUUAAACAGAAGUUCCUGUUAUCUUUGUAAAGCAAAUAAAGGUAAAGGAAAAUAUAAUGUUAAGUAUGCCAUGUUGGGGUUGGCCGGUGGGGGUGGUGGGUGGUGGGCUGGGUUUUACCGACAUUAGCUACAGGUUGAUUGAGUGGAAAGCAUCUUAUAAAACAUAAUGGAGAAAGGACAUAUUACUAUUUUAUAAGCUUAUCAUCUUGAUGUUACCAAUUCGAAGUUGCUUGGCUGCCUUUUGCAACGUGUAAUUCAGGUCUACCGAGGCUGUACACUUGAUGGCAGUAUUGUGGCUGUAAAAGUCCAGCGACCAGACUUGCUUCAUGUGAUUAUGCGAGAUAUCUACAUUUUAUGUCUUGGGGUCAGUAUUGACAUGCAUUGUAGAUUUCAUAACUUGCUUAAUUUUGCACUCUUUUUCUUUUUGCUCAAGUUGUUCUCUUCAAAUGUUUUUAUUUUAAUUAUUAUUAACGAAACAACUGCUUGUGUUGCUCUAACAAUUUGCCUAUAUCAUAUAACAAAAUUGCAAUGUUAGUCAAAACUCCACUUUCAUGUAUAUGUAGCUUCUACUUACGAACUAGUACUUUAGUUCAUCUAUGCUGCAUAAAACCAAUAUUUAUCACUUUUUCUGAUUAAUAACUCGUGGUUAACACUACCAAAGUAAGAAGAGGAUAAGGUCGAAGUACAUGUGCCAAAAUGACAAUGACAAUUUUUUUUUUGUCAUUUUUCUAUAAUAUCAUGAGUACUAAGUCUUUCAUGAGGGUAGAUAAUGGGGAUCGUGAUGGAAUUCAAGUCCACAAAAGGCAAGCAAAGAAACAUAUGAACCUUUGGAUUGACUUGGAUGACCUGGUGGCACGAUAUGGGAACUUCAUGAAUAUCAUGGAAUAUCAUUGGUGUUUGUCAAGUUUUAUAUCUUAUUGUCAUUUGUUUUUAUAUUUUAAUUAUAUUUUCUGUUUUAGCCAUGCUUUGUUGAGUAUAGUUUAUUGUUUGAAAAGGACUGAAUUAAGUGAUUAGAUUAGUCACAUGUUUUAUUAAAAAGUCAAGAGGUCAUUUUAGGAAUUACAUAAGAGGCAGGUUACUGUACAUGAUAAUGUGGCAUGAAUAGCAAUGCUACAGUGCUGUGCCUUGUUAAGGCUUCUUUGUUUUAGGUUUUUUCAUGAACAUUGUGUGCAGAAUUUUCAUCAAUGAAAUCAAAGUUCUCUUUCUCUUUUCCCUGCAUGUGAGGCCUGAAAUAUGGGUGUGAGGCCCUAGAAAGUGAUUCCCUAUCAAAACGGUGUGAGAUCGGUUUGUUUUCUUUUCUUCCUUCUGGAAAAUAUCUUUUCGCUGCAUUUAUUUUUUUUCUCUUUUCUUUUGUUUUUGCCAUAUUGUAGCCUAAAACAAAUACACUUCUACUUCUCUCGCAGUAGUUACUUUGUAGCCAUCAAUUAACACCUAUUUCUGGCUUUGAUCUGUCUAAAACCUGAUUCAUGUGUCCAAUCAGAUUUGCAACUUCUGCAGACCUGUAAGCCCUCCUUCUUUGGUUCUAGAAAACCUUGCUGUAAAUCAGCAUAUCCUAAAUCUAGUUCUUGGAGGGCAUCAAUGAUCACUAUAACCGAAAAGAAAAUCUUGUAAAUUGGGCUGUCGUACAUGAUCUACAUGUUAAAAACAGGAAAAUGACUGGAUCUGGACAGUGAUUGCAGCGUAUUCACCUACAUGAAUGAAGAUCUAUUGCUUUGCAUUCUUCAAGAAUUCUAGUAAUUUUCAAUACUUUUGUUGCAGGAUCAUAUACUUCAUUUGUGAAAAGCUAUUGCCAGAAUCUGAUUUCAGGAAGUGGCAUUUAGGCAUCUAUAUCAAGCAUCUCCUUUGCAUUGAAAUAUGUUGUAAUUUGAGUCCUAAUACUGGUAGUUUCUUAAUUUUAAUUUCAGAUUGCUAUUUAGUGCCACAUAGAAUCAUAUUUCAAUUACUUACAUUCAUAGUAUUUAUGCUUUGAAAUUAUAUUUGUGUGGCAUUAAUUAUUAGGUUCGCUAGGGUGGUCUUGCAUCAGCAUGCCAUUUUGUGACUUAUACGGCUAAAGCUUUGUCAAAAGAUUGGGCAUCCUUCAUCAUGUUGUGGAACUGGGCUUCCUCAGUGGUGAACUUGUAUUUAGGUAAAAAAGAUUCUUCAUCUUGUUGUAGAAUGUGGGCUUCCUUUUGAAUAUUGCUCAAUUACCACAAGUCAUUACUGAAGUAGCUAACCAUGUCACAAUAAAUUCUGUAUUUGUAAUUUUGAAGAAGUUGAUCAACUCUAGGGAGCAAGCCUACUAUUGACAUGUACCAACUAUACCGUAUUGUGCAAGUAAUGUAUUUAUAUGGUAUCAAGGUUCGGUUCGGCAUAUGAGUUGAAUUGGUUCAUACCGUUCUAAACCAAGUGGAACUAUCUUGUACCUAGGGGUGGCAAUCGGGGUUGGAUCAGAUACGGAUCGGGUAAAAAAUUUAUCAACCCAAACCUAACCUAUAUAUUAAAUAACUCAAAAUUCUAAAUCUGAAUCCAACCUGUUUAUUAAACAGAUAACCCAACCCGACCCACAUAACUAUUUAUUAAAUAGUUUAAACAGUUUAAAAGAGUCAAACAAGUUUUUAACGAGUUAAAUGGAUUUAAAUAAACGAGUCGGGUUAAAUAUGAUAGAAAUAGGUUAAUCAGAUUUCACAUAGGUUAAACAUGUUUUAAACAGGUUAAAUAGGUUGGGUCAUAACCCGAUCCAAUAAUUAAACGAGUCAAAAUGGGUUAAAUGGAUUAAGGGUUUAAACCUAAAUCUAACCUAUUUAAUAAGACCCAUUUAUGAUCCAAACCCAUUUUUGUCAAUUCUAAACCUGCUUAAAGCAGGUCGUUCGCAGAUCAGGUUGACGGGUCUGGUCAUAAAUUGUCACCCUUACUUGUACCAUCUAAAAUUAGAGGUGCGUACCAUACCAUAUCAUACUAUACUAAUCUAUAUUGUCCGGUUGCAGGCGGUACCAUAAUAAAAAGUGAGACAAAGAGGGGGUCGGGAUAUUUCUUGGAAUGUGGUGCAUGCGAUACUUUACCAAAAUGGCAACAUACUAUUAUGGUACCUGAUACUAAGAUUGCGAGCCUUGCAAGAAAAAUUUACAUACCAUGAGGGUAAUUAUCCUAUCUAUCAUAUGUAAUUGUAGUUUAUUCAAACUAUUUUGGUUUAUUUGCAUCCGGAAGCAAAAUGAUUGCAGACAUAUGUUAUUGGAAAUACGGGAUAAACGUAAUGUAUAACGGCUACAUCUGAUGGCACUAAAUGAGUUCUAAUAGAACAAAUAAUUGCUAGCAGGUUGGUGCAAAUUGCAAAAUGAGGCCUGGCAUGGGUUUAGGAUCUUUGAAGAUAUGACAUUCAUAUCUUUAGGUUGAUGGUUAUCACUAAUUUGGAGUGGUUGGAGGGUGUACCAGCUAGCGACCAGUUCAGNNNNNNNNNNNNNNNNNNNNNNNNNNNNNNNNNNNNNNNNNNNNNNNNNNNNNNNNNNNNNNNNNNNNNNNNNNNNNNNNNNNNNNNNNNNNNNNNNNNNNNNNNNNNNNNNNNNNNNNNNNNNNNNNNNNNNNNNNNNNNNNNNNNNNNNNNNNNNNNNNNNNNNNNNNNNNNNNNNNNNNNNNNNNNNNNNNNNNNNNNNNNNNNNNNNNNNNNNNNNNNNNNNNNNNNNNNNNNNNNNNNNNNNNNNNNNNNNNNNNNNNNNNNNNNNNNNNNNNNNCGCUUCAAACCAUCAUGAGCAUCAGAGGGUUGGGGGGGGGUCAGUCGAGCUUUUUUUUUUGGAGCUGAUGGGGGCAUCAAUCGACUCGCUCUUUCGAGCAAAUAAUUGGUGCUGAAGACUCAAACCUGCCAACUCAAAUGGGCUGAAGGUUGAACUGUUGAAUGUGUGGCACAACCUGAACCAACCGGUUUGGCAUAGUUUGGCAAUUCUUGAAUAAAAAAAAAUAUUUUUAUAUAUCUAGAAAGGCUUCCUCAUUGAUAAGUACUGACAGCUUCCUCUUGAAAAAUCUGUCCUUUUCUGAAUUUUGUUUCAUAUAUUCUUGACAUUCUGCAUAAAUCAUUCUAUUUAAAGCAUUGUAGUUGGAAUACUUUGUUGGUGCAUUUGGGAUAUUUGAAACAUACAUGUUUUAAAGUAUGAAAAAGAAACCAAAACUGAUCUCAGGGUUGUUAUUCUUGUUGGAAUGUGGCAUAUUACUUUAAUUUAAUGCAGUUUGCUUUGGAUAUCUAGAAAAGGUUGCCUCAUUGAUAAGUUCUGUCAGCUUCCUCUCAUAGAGUGUCCUUCAUUGGUGCAACAGGAAUAUCCGAAACAUAUCUUUUGGUUGAAGAUUUAAAGAGAGCACAAACUAUAUUAGGAUUGUUAUUCUUCUUGGAAGGUAUUAUAAACUUUUAAUUUAAUCAAUGCAGCUAACAUUUUUGAGGAAGGUAGCAAAAAGGCAGAGUGAUCUUAGUCUCUAUGCUGAUGAGCUUGGCAAAGGUUUAGUUGGCGAGUUGGAUUACACGAAAGAAGCUGCAAACGCCUUUUGAGUUUUUGGUUUUUAUAUGCUAAUGAUUAUUUAUAGGUUUUCAGUACAAUAAGUUUUUUUUCCACUAAUGAUUUCUUUUCUAGAUUUUCAGUAUAAUAUGUUUUUCCCCUCUCCCUCAUGAUUAUCAUAUCUAUGUUUUACAGGAAGCUCAUUCCCAAUAUAAAUUUAUAUCGGUUCCAAAAGUUCUUAGAAAAUUAACCAGAAAGAGAGUUUUAACUAUGGAGUAGAUGAUAGGUGAAAUUCCAAAUAACUUACUUCUGCCUUCCAGGGGAUUUGGUCAAGGAGGUAAUCAAUACUCAGAGAGGAUAAAAUUGGAGGCCAAAACAUGCAUUCUUGAUCUGGUGUGCACUGAUUACUAGUAGAACUACUUUCUCCAUUUCUAUAACAUCUAUGUUAACAUAAUUGAUUAUAAUUUGUGCAUGUAUUCAUGUGCAUGAUAUACUAUGUCACCAUGAGCCUGACUAGCAUCCGCAUGCCAAGAUUUUAUCUGCUCUCAUGCCCCGUAAUAAAUAUAAGUCAAAUGGUGAUGUUCUUUUGUUAUCUUCUGUCAUAAGAAGAGUAUGUAUACGAUGUACUUUCUACUAUCUUUGAAAAGCCAACACAGUAGGUCUCAGAAUCUAAUUUUUUUAGGAUUAGCUGGAUUCAGUCUGCCGACUUGCUUAGUUGUAUCUAAAACACAUUGACUUUUAAUUUGCAGAUCAAACGAAGCUUUUCUUUAUUUUUUUAUUUAAAAUAAAAUAGAAAGUCUUAUCAUUUGGUAUUCUGCAACAAGGUAUGCCAUCUUGGUACUGGACCCCGUACUAGUACCAAUCUAUUACUAUGUCGGUAUGCUUGGUAUGGGGGUUAGUUGGGCGUAUCGACACUUGGUAUGCCCCUCAUACUGUAUACCGAUUCGAUACUGGUACGAUAUGAUAUGGUUGGUACACACCGGUACCGACUGGUACGGCAUUUCUUGUUUUGCAAUUUAUUUGUAUAUCUUUUUCCUCUUCUAGUUUUGUUAUUUGGCCUUGAUCGUGACUAAAAUUUUAAACUUGCAACCUCAGAUGAAGAAAACCUUCUUUUUUUCCAAUUAUAUUUGAAGUAUCUAUCAACAUAUAUUUUAUGCCCUCCGAUAUACUUUCUUUGUUUUUCUUUUAGAAAAAUUCUUCCUCCCCUUAUUUUCAUUUUUCUAGUCAAUAAGUAAAAAUUUCUAGAAAUAUGGAGUAAGAUAUACAUAUUUUACUUGUUGAACUUCAAAUUUCAUCUUUAACUUCAUGUUUAUUCUUUUUACUGCUCAACUUCAUGGUAUGUGUAAUUUUUUAAUGAAAUCAAGCAUAGUUACUUUUUUCAAUAUUUGAAAACUUAUUGUUCUAGGAGUUAUACAUUUAGUUCUAUCCUGAAACAAAGUAUGCAUGCCAUUUAAGUCCUGUCUCAGAGUUCAGGCUGUUAAUUGUUGGUUAAUUGCAAUGGAUCUUUCUAUUUUACUAAUGUACGUGGGUCCAACUUGUGGAAAAAAGAAAAAUAGAAAAUUGUAUGGGAUUGCUUCAAAUUUAGACCCUUUCUUAUUGCAUGCGUGGUUAUAUGUGGGUUGUUAAGUGACUUUGCAUUUUUUUUCGUCUACUGAUGAUAAGGGAGGCAAGAUGCCACCCUGUAUUUUAUUACUGAAAGAGAGUGACUAUGCAAAUGUAGGUGCCUCUGUUUUGUCAUUCUCUGCUUAUGACUGCUACCAUUUAACUCUUCUAAGUUCUUAUAGUGAAUCUGGUUAGAAAAUCAUGCAUUUUAUUUGUGUAGAUUCUUAGGAGAUAAAACUUGAAACAUGAUCUCUGUUUUAGUAUUUUUAAUCAAUCUCCAUUUUACUCAGAUUAGAUAGUACAAUCCAAAUGAGCAUAGCAGUUGAAUAAUUUCUCUAUUUCAAAGAUCAAGGUUCCUCACAGUCAGGUUCAAUGCAAUUGUCCCCUAUUAGCGGAGUACCCCUCUUCUUGAUUAGGGUUUGAGGACAGCAAUGGCUUGAUGAACCGCUCCAUUCACCCUGUGUUGACCGUGAAGUUUGCUUAAAGUUAGAUUGGAAAAAGAGAGUAUCAAAAAGUUAAAUUCUGAUCUGAGUAGGCUCGAUAGAGGGAAUACCCCAACCCUGAGAAUUGGGGUCUGGUCUUCCCAUCCUAGUUGACAUUCUAGCAAAGUUUGUCUUUUGAUAGCUGAUGAACCUGGGGAUCCCUUCCCUGUACCCAUAUGUGUUUCCAUAGAUCUUACAGUUGCAGGUUUGUUCGCAAGCAAAUCAUACCCAUAUUAUUUCUAAACUCAUUUUCUCAGUGAUUCUAAACAAAUCAUAUCCAUAUGUGUUUCCAUAGAAAGUCUGUGUAAUUUAAAAAUUCUCAUACAGGUUGGGAUAAUAUGUAACUGAAUACUGAAUAGUGAAUUCUUAUGAAUUUCUAUUUUAUUUAGUCUAAAAUAUAUUAUAUAUAUUCCCUCUAGUUGAGUUGAAAAUGAUUAAACCAAGAUAUUGAUAUUUAGUCUAUACUUUUUUAAUACUGACAUUCUCCUUCAAACCCAAUAUAUCUAUUAGUUUUGUUAAUUUUUUGGAAGAUGGAUUCUGAUCAAUUAAUUUAUCUAUGCAACCCAAUAACCAUGCUAUUUCAUGUUUGUGUCAAUUUAAGGUUAAUAAAGGAGUGGAAGCUACACUAGUUCAACUUUUUGAUACAGCCUAUUACAUGCUGAUCCUCAUCCCGGGAACUUGCGUUAUACACCUGAAGGAUGUAUUGGGUAUGACAAACUUGUUUCAUUCAUGAGAUAUGCAAUUCUUAGUUUCAUUUGUGAAACAAAAAUAAUGGAGAUGCCUUUAGUUGCAUCAUAUCCAGUUGUGCACAAGAAGAUUCACUUCAGCUGCCGAAAGAUGCAGUAGUUCAUUGGAACGACUCGGCCUCUACUCCUCUGCUUCAAGUGAAAUUGUUUUUCAUGUUCUCUCUGUUUCUUUAAGAAGUGCGAAUUGUUAAUUUUUACCUAACUUUUUAGGUUUCUUGAUUUUGGUUUGCUUUGUCGGAUGGAGAAGAAACAUCAGCUUGCUAUGCUUGCUUUCAUAAUGCACAUAGUAAAUGGAGACUGGGGUGCGCUUGUUUAUGAUUCGACUGAGAUGGAUAUUGUUAGGCCCGGAACCAAUCUACGUCGUGUGAAAAUGGUAUUCCAUUCAUUACCAAAUUUCUUUUUUCAUCUUUUUAACUGAACAUCUUAGCAAGGUGCUAAAAGAAGACCAGUUUGUUGUAGCGUGUGCUUACAUGCGACUUGUAGUAAGUGGUAUGAUAAAAGAGGGACAAAUUAGAGAACAAAAGAAAAUGACCUAAAUGGGAAACUAUAAUAUUAAACUGCAAGCAUCUAAGAGGGAGAAAAAAAGGCCAUAAAAGAAGUGCUACAAGAUAAAAUACCUGCAUACAAAGUUUACUCUUUUUCACGCAUUCACUGAGAUCACUGUGUUUUGGUAGAGAAGAUAACAAAAAGCUUAAAUUGGCCUAUUUUUUCCUUGCACACAUUUAUAGAAAUCUUAGCAGCAAGAGAAAUACAAAUGAGCUUCGUAAUUUCUUCUGAUUAUAUCACCACUUGCCAGUUGGACAAAAUUAUCUUUUACAGAGUGUUCUUUAAUUAGAGCUGCGAUUUGUAGCUGGUGUUGAUGGGAAAAGGCUUGGAUGAUUAUGAUGGAAUGCUUUUGUUGGCAUCAGCUCUUAUAAAACAUAAUUUCUCUGUUAAAUUGGUUAUAGAUUGCUUCGGAAGUGAAUUUCAAUUACUGAUCAUUAACUAUAUGAUCCGAGGAUGUCUUAAUUUUACAUAGUAAUGAUGGUUAAAUGGUUUGUGGUGAGGACUCCUGAAGACCUUGUGGAAGACUCCUGGAAAAAUAAGCAAAUGAUUAAAUUUAAAUUCCAAUAAGGUACUGUACAAAGUGUGAUGACUUGUGGAGGAACAAACAAUAUGACAUAGGCGAAAUUUAGCAUGGAGAUUGGCACAGUAGCAUACUCCAGAUAAUAAUGCAGACAAACAGUUGUGCAAAUGAUCUGCAUCAUACUAUACUUUAUUUUUCCAUUCCUCUGUAGUUUUUAUGAAAAUAUAUGCUCAAUAUGUUUUCUUGCCUUUGCUUAAUGUACCGGGAUUUGGAAGAGGCCUUGGAUGAGGUAGUCUUCAAUGAUGGAAUACCUGACAUCAAGUUUAGUAGGGUUAGUAUUUGACCUAUAUGUUACUUGUAUAAGUUGUUUUAAAUUUUCUUAGUAACAAAAUAGUUUCAACUUUUUUCUUCUCUUCUACAGUCAUGAUACCGUGCAUUUUUAUCAUUCAUGUGGUGUCAUGUGAAUUAUUAUUGUUAUGUUAGGAUGGAAUGUCAGCUAAGGUCUUGUAUCCAUAUUGAUCAAGGUUCUGAAAGUGCAUGUAUGAGGACAUUAGAUUCUGGGCUGGAAUCAUGAAUUAGACUAAAACAGCAUGACACUAUUGUAGGUUCUUUUACUUAACACUGGAAGCUAAAAGAAGCAAGAAUAUAUGGCAUAACUCGCUUGUUCAGAUCAAACAAGUAUUAGAAUAUUAGAGUGACAACGAUGAUAACAUCCUUAAAAAGUUUUACAGCAUCAAACAUCCAAAUAUAAGGCACCACCAUAACAUGUGUUUGACUUCUACACUUACUAUCUAAUACAGUUUCCUUUUCACCAAACAUCAUGCUCUUUUUUUAAUUUUACCUUUAGAAUUAAAAUUAAGUUUUAAUCCGGUUUUAUUGAAACCUAUUUUACCUGAAAUGAAACCAGAAAUACUUUGGCUUGAGGAACAACCAACACAUGGCCCAAAACCAAAAUUUAUACCUUGAAUUUCAUUCAUGUGCUUGUUUUGGUAACACUAGGUUUUAACUAUCAUACCCAGUUAUUCUUUUAAAACUCAAAUUUGUUGCUACUUUAACAAACAUCUAGAAAUAGCAUGCACUAAUUGGUUUUUUGGGAUAUCAAAAUUCAAAGAUUAGUACACCUGUAAGGCUGUAACAAUAAAUAAAAAGUUGGGGCUUGAAGCCAAUCAUUGGUGAAGGCUUAUUACCAUAGAAAACACCCCCAUCUAUGCACAAGCAGCUCUUAUACUUGCAAUUGCUUUUGCCCACAUGAAAACAUUUCAUCAAUAUACAGAUUCAAUAUGUCUUUUUCUGAUUACCCACCUAAUAAGUUCAUUUGGCUUUUCGAUCAUAACUACUUUCCACAUCCACAAAAAUCAUGUGCAGCCUUUUCUUUCUACGAAUAUUAUAUUCAUCAUUUACCUGAGAUAAUUAUAUUCUUGGCAUGAUGUUAAAUUGGUAUUCUGAGUUGAUAUUACUUAUUUUUUUAACCUUUUUUUUUCUGAACACCCUUUAAAAUAGCUUGACGUCAUGACUCACAAAUUUAUAUAUUGUUCUUAUAUAUUAAUUUUGUUGUGCAUUUUUUCUUCAUUUAUAUGGUAUCCUGUCACUUGUAGGAUCUCAGAUAGAUUCCUCUAUUUUGUUUGCUCCACUCAUUUUCAAAUGAUGAUCUGUUACUUCAGCAUGCGGAUACAAUGAUUGUUAUGCAACAAUAAUAAGUCAUCUGAUAUUUGUAACCUGCAUAAUCAUGUUCAUUCUUGAUUUAGAUAUCAGCAUACACAACACAGAUUUUACUUAAUUGUUUGAAAAAAGAUCUUUGUCUGUUCUGGUGGCCAACAGUUACCCAUGUUUUGCAGGUUCUAGGUAAAAUUUGGUCCAUAGCACUUAAGUAUCAAUUCCGUAUGCCACCAUAUUAUACAUUGGUCUUGUGCUCUCUAGCUUCCCUGGAAGGUUAGCUUAUUCUAUUCCCGUGUUGGCAUGCACAGUGCACACAUGGGUGACAACCACAUGCGUCAUAGAAAUACAUGUGCAUGGCAUGCACACUCGAAUUAUUAUGUUUAAGAUUGUUUAUAGUUGUUAUCAUCAUCAGGAUUGGCACUGGCUGCAGAUCAAAAUUUUAAGACAUUUCAAUCUGCAUACCCUUAUGUUGUCCAGAAACUUCUUUAUGAUAAUUCAGCUUCUACAAGGAGAAUGUUAUACUCGGUAUACCUUUUUCUUUUUUCUGUUUGGCGCCUCCAGAUUUGUUUAACUUGCGUUUAUGCUUUUUAUUGUUAUUCUUCAAUUAUCUUUUACCUGUACUACUCCAAGUAUGGUUUUAUUUCACACCUUAUUGAUGUUUCACAUGGAACAUUUUUUUUAAUUAAACAACAAGGUUGUCAGCAUUCGCUUUAGCGUGGCUAGACAAUAGAGUAAAAACCACAAUAUCAAGGUAUGCCGUACCGGCCUGAAUCGGGCGGUACAGGACAUACCGUACCAUAUUGGUUUGGUACCGAUAUCCGAUAUGGGUGGCAUACCGACACUCAGUAUACCAAAAAAAAUUCUGUAUCAUAGUGUACCAACACUGUGCUAGUGUGGUACCGAUACAAGGUCCGGUACGGAGACGGCGAACCUUGCAUAAUAUUUUUCAUUGUCAUGUUUUAUACUUCUUUGCCAACAUAUUUGAAACAUGCUCCUCAUUUAAAAAGCACUCCUUUUUUAGUUAUGUAGAUAUUACAUUAUGUAUGCUUUGGUGCAUACUGCAUAGCAUCAGAAAAUAAUCACUUACAUAUAAUAAAUAUAGAUGGAGAAUUUAGAUAAUGUUACUACAGCUUAACCAUAAAGGCAAUUUUACAGAAUGAAAGGAAAAAACAAUGUGUGAAAUAUAUGAAGAAAUUUCGCUAGAAAAAGAAAUAACAUGUAUUCAUUGGGAUGAGAAGAGAGCAUCGAGAUGGAAUGAUACUAAUAAAGACUUGAUUUAACAUGGAAGAGCAGAUUGUAUAGGAAAUGAAGAUACCUGCUGGGGAAGAAGAAUUUGGUGAUUGGAAUAUUGUAGGAGAUAGAAUAUUUGAGUUUGCGAUAAUAUGUAAUUUAGGAGUUACAUUCUAUAAGAUGAGAAUUGGGCACUUAGAUAAUUCUAAAGCUGGUAAAGUUUCUCUUCUGGAAUAUGGAGUGCAUGGGUUGUUAAAGUUACAAUAGGAUGGAGCUCAUAUUAUAUAACAUUUGUUAUUGGUUGUUUUGCAGGUGGAUCUCCCUCCCUUUCUCUCAAAAAAGACAUUAGUCAGUGGUAGUUGAUGCAGGUUUUAAGCCCAUAGCUUAAUGAUUUAGCUAUUUCAUGACAUAAAAUACUUACGGGUGUGUGCAUAAAAAAGAAUCAAGAAAGAAUGUACUUAAAGCUAUCUACUUGAAGUGGAAAAGUUAGAGGUUGAAUGAUGUCAAAAAUGGAGUAGAAUGUAGACAUAGUUGCGAUGAAAGUAAUGAAGGCUUUUGUUAUCCUCUUUUUAGAUGAAGUUAUAUUCCUUUAAGAAACCUAAUGACUUUGAAUAUUAUCUUUAUCAAGACUUUAAGUACCGACCAGUACGAGGCAUAUCUUACUAUACCAUUAGGGAACUAGUACUUGGCAUGCUCCCUAUACUGACACUGCUCUUAUAUUAGAUGCUUAAAGAAGGUAACAAAAAAGGAUAUUCUAUGGGUUGAGAUUAUGGCAUUAGCUGGAUAGAAAAUUAUAGAGUUAGUAGGGGGCUUGGUUGCAAGUUUCAAAGUGCUGGCCAUAUUUUUUUUUUCUGUUUUAUGCGGCUCAAAAGACGUAUCUUAACCUCAUGCUAUUUGUAUAUGGAUGUGGUUCCUUGUUGAUGAAAUGGUUAGAUCUCUGCAUUGGGAUAUGAGUGUUCAUCUCUAUAUAUGUUGACAUAGUUCACCAAGUCUUCCAACUGAAAUUGAUUCAUUCUGUACCUUCAUGUCCUGUUGGUAAAUAUUCUGCAUAGAGAAACAGUAGGCUUACAAUUUUCGAUGCUCCCCAUGUAGGUUGUCUUCAACAAAAGGAGGGAAUUCCAGUGGAAUUUUAUUUUGCUGUUUCUGAGAAUAGGUUCAAUGAGGUAAGCUGUGAUAUUUUUCUCAAUAAAACUUGUGGAAGAAUACAUGAUUGUUCCUCUUAAUUUGAUGACAAUUUACUAGCACAAAGCAAUAAGCUUUCUACAGAACUUAUGUUUUUUCUGCUUCCUUAGCAAAAGAUUACUCAGCACUGAAGGUUUUCAACUACAGAAAUGAAAACUACAAUGUGCUACCGCAAUUUAUUUCAUUUAAUAAGCUCACUUUUAAGGAUGAAAUAUAUUGAGGACAUGGUGGCUUUGGUAUCCAAAUUAGAGAAAUACUAGCAUUCUGGAGUUCUGCUCUGAACAAGUUUAAGCAGAAAACUUUGAAUAUUACGUACUCCAAAAAUUUGUACUUAUUCCUAGAGAUAUCACUGCCUUGCUUACUUGCAUAGGAUACUAUAUCAUUGUCAGCUCCUCAUCCUUAACUUACAAGCCUAUUCCUGUCUUUAAAUUCUGUGUUAAGGUUCGAUUACUGUAAUAGGCGGAUGUCAACCUGGUACCAAACUUAUGUAGAAAUGUUUUGGUCAAAUAUGGGCAAAAGAGGUGCUGCCACUAAGUCUGAAUUGAUAGGAAGUAGAGCAUACUGUCAUCGGUAAAGCAGUUUGAUGUGCAACUGGGUAGCAACGCCCCAAGAUAACACUGGACUUGAGAAGUUCUAGAAGAAAUAUAAAAAGACAAAACAGAUAUGUGGGACUGCAUUUUUCAGAAAAAAUUAUAUGCUAAAGAGCCAAAUUAAAGGACAGUAUGAUACUCUGUCAUUGUUAGGGGAAAAAUCUUUCGUUUUUUCCUCUAACUGAAAAAUUUCUGUAAAAAUAUUUUAGGGAUACAAGCUGCAUUAAGUUAUUUUCUACAGAAGUAUUGAGAUAUGAACAUAGAUACUUUGAAGACCAUCUCACACAUAACAUUUUGAUUCUAUGUUACUUCGCCCUGUCAAUCCUCCAGGACCCAAAUAACUCCAUUUUUGCCCAUGAACGAUUUGUGUCAAUGGAUUAGUUCGAUCCAAAACGUACUUUCAUUGAUUUUUUUUGACUAACUCAGGAACUUUGGCCGGAUUGGAUUUCUUUAUGACCGACAUGGUCGGAUCUUGUCUCCCCACAAUCUCUUUCUGGUUGAGGAACCCACGUUUUCCGGUCUUAGCAUAUUGAUUUCUUGAGGAAAGAUUUGGGAGACUUCUUAUAUUGAUUUCACUUGAUCAUAACAUCAGAUAUCUUGUUUUUGUUUCACCUUGAUUUUAUUCUUACAAGCCAGGAACUCACUUGUAUCCUAUAUGCUGCAUGCAGAAAUGGUACAAAUGUGCAUAACGUGUUAGUCACCUGCAAAUCCUUUGCAUACAGUCAAAAUGUACGAGAGGGGGUCUUUGAAGUUGCAAAAUCUAGUCUUGCAGCUCUUACCAUCAAAGGAUGGUAUCAUCCUAAGAAUUCUGAUGACUGCGGUAUGUGUUGUGACCUAUACAUGACCACACAUCCAUGUUAGUCACUGCUGUAGGAGUUUGCAAGCUUUGAAAUCAGAUUUGUAAGAUUUUAUCUCAAUAUGGCUGUUCUGUUUCCUUUUCCCUACAUUGGUGAGUGGUAAGGCGUUGACAGUUGUAGCAGGGUACGGCUGGAGUAGCAAGGCAUUGUCCUUGACUGUCGUUGGCCAGCAAGCAAAGCACGGCGCGAAGGUGUUUACAAUGUACGGCCACACAGGUGGGCGUAGGUACGCAAGUGGAUGCAGCUAUUGGCGAGGCUGGGCUCGGUGAGAGGUCACACCACAUAUUUGAUGAGGUCGGCUUAGCUUCCUCAAUAAAGCAUCCCGAGCUCGAGGAUCGAGGUGGAUCAGCGAAUACAGAAGGUGCCCCAAGCUUGAUCGGGGCGGAUCGGCGAAUACAAGAGGCGCCUAGAGCUUAGUCGGGGCGGGUCGGCGAAUACGGAAAGCGCCUCGAGGUCGAAGAAGCUUUUGGGGCGUCCCGAGCUCGGGCUCGGGACGUCAUCAUAAGCGUCAGAAUGUUGCUGUAGGUCGCGACAGCAGAGAGAUUCGGCUGAGGUCGACUGUGCCUUCGAUGAAGUCCGAUCUCGGACUGGCUCUUAGCGGAGCCGAUGUCCGGCUCAGUCGGUGCUGGGGCCUAUUUGGCCGAAAUUGGGUGGUCCCAUUGUUGUGAGCAUUGACGAUCCAUUUUGCCCCCCAUCAUUUGCCCCCCAACUUCGGAAGUCGAGUUACUCUGUGUCUCGGGUGAAAGAAGUAGUCGAAUUGUUGGUCGUCCUGUGGUGUGGCCAAGCGCUUGCGAAGAUGCGUGCGCCGAGUAGGAAACACUUGGUGUAUCUUAUAGCUGAGGGCUUUGAGUCAGGCUUUUGGGGCCGGACUUAGGUGGCUUAGGCUGCCACGUUGCCCUAAGCAGAAACCGCCGUGGGAGCUUCUUAAUGUUCCACGUGCACGCUCUGCGCUCCUUUUCGAGAGGUUGCUGGAUGGAACGCGAAGGGGGCGAUUAUUAAUGCCUCGUUCUUCGAAGCGCCUUGCCUGAUGGAACAUGAGAGGCCGGCUAUUAAUGUCCCGUUCUCCGAAGCACCUCGCCUAACAGAAUGCGAGAGGCCGGUUAUUAAUGUUCCGCUCUCCGAAGCACCUCGCCAUAAUGACGGUAUUUAGUGCCGCGAUUCGGAAAGAUUUGUUGAGGUCGUUUCGAGGCCUGCCACGUGGCGGAGUUUAGCUCGCCUGAUCGCUUAGUCUAUCUGAUCAGAACUGUUGUAGUGGGCUAAAUAAGACCUGGAGGGGACCCUAGGGUCGCUAUUUGAUCCUUUCUGCCUCUACCUCCUUUCUUUCCAACCACCAUUGUUGUGGUGUUCGAGCUUUUUUUUGAGUGUUUUGGGAGCUUCCCGUCGACCUUUGCGUCGAGCGUUAUUUUCGAUCCCCGGCAAUCAUUCUUCCUUUUUCCAGUCAUCUUCUUCGGCGAACUUUCGUGUAUGCGUUUUAUCCCUCUCUCGGUCGCUCGGAGAGUUUCCUUUCUUCCUUCUUUAUAAUUCUGGGACCAAAGCAAUGAGUUCGCCUACGAGGGCCUUGAUGCUCGGUGUAGGUUCAUCUCUAGCCCAUGCUUCUUCCGAUAUGGAGGAGGUUGAGCUCGAGGUGGGCCAAGGUCCGUAUGGGACCGGCUCGCUCAUGAGUGAUGAGGAUCUAGGCUCGGUUCGAGCUCGGUUCUUCUUUCCUCUGGAGUUUGUCCUCAAGCUUCUGGACCUCGGAGGGCGAGUCACCAACCCGCCUAAAGGUUGGAUCGGGGUGUAUAUAGAAAAGCUCCGAGCGGGGGUGAGGUUCCCUCUGCACGGGUUCGUGGACGAGCUUCUGACGACUUACCAUCUUGUGCCCGCACAGCGCCCCAAACUUGUGGAGAAUGAUAAUCGGCUUCCUCGCCCUCUGCCUUGCACAUGGUCUGUCCCCCUUGAUGAGUGUCUUCCGGAGUUGCUUUAUAUUAAAAGGCAAUCCCGCAGACAAAGGAUGGUGGUACUUCUCCUUCCGAGGAGGCCGCAAGCUCUAGCUCUUUGGAGGCAUUCCUUCCUCCAUUUAUGGGUGGAAGGAUAAAUUUUUCUUUGUUUCCUCCGAGUGAUCGUGGGGGUUUAAUCCGACCUGGAGCAUUCCGCUGGCCUUGGCGAAUAACAGGCUCCCUCAGUUAUCACAGUCCGAGCAGGGCAUUCUAGACAGUUUGCUCGGACUAGAAUGAACUCCACGGCUUUUCGACCUACUCAGCGAGGAGGCCUUAGUAAAUGUUAGCCUGAGCCUAGCUUGCCUCAAGGGUAAGAGUAGCACAGCUGCUCCAUUCCUUUUUCCACGUCGGAUUCUAAUAAGAUCUUUUAUCGCCAGAUAUUGCAUGAAUGAUCUUCAGUGCUGAGACAUUAAUGGCCAGAUAUAGGAAGAGGGUGGCCGCCUCGGAGGGGGCUCAGUCUGAACGGAGGCCGAAGAAAGCCGAAGCUGCCUCUGGCUCUGGAAUUGAGCAGAGUGAGCUAGCUCUGAUUGAGGCCGCCGUCCCUGCUCGGGCUAGAUCCGAUCAGGUUCUUGUAGUGGAGGCCGAGGUGCCCCCAUUGGCGCCAGGAGGGGGCCCUUCUGAUCAAGUGGCGGUCGUGUCUAUCGGCCAAAUUCAGGAGGUUGGAGAGGCCGUCCGGUUACAUGAAUCGGGUCUUGAGCUCGGGAGCAGGCUCGAGCUCCCAACUCCCUUCGUGUCCUUGACAUCCGCUGGGGCUGCGGUUUCCCUUGAGGCUCCGACUUCAGCCAAGGUUUCGGCUCCUCCUGAGGCUCCAACCUCAGCUGGGAUCGACUCCAGUCCUUCGGAAUCCGGAAGGAGGCGAUUGCGGCAUCAGUGUUGCGUGUUCGAGGACAACAUGGCCCUUGAGUCUGGCGACGUUGCUCGUGAGCUCGUGCACGGUAUUAUGCUCCCGCGCGGUCGAGCUCUAAUGGAAGAGGACUUUGACUUCGCUCGUCAUGCUUAUUCAGCCAGCAUCCAGGUGAGUGACGCAGCCCUCCUAUUCCUCAUUCAUUUUCUUUGCAAGUGCUCGACCUCCACUGACUUUAUCUUUUGUGCCAUUCCCUCCAUGUGGUUGACAUGCUAGCGUCCAACAUUCUCGCCUGCCGGGUGUAGGGUUUCAUAGUGAUGUAGGGGUGCAGCAGAAGCGCGGGAUUUCAAAAAAUUUCUUAACAAAAUUCCGUUACAUCAUACCCUAAUGAGCCAAGAUCACCUUAAUGGUAAUAAUCAAACAAAUAAAUAUAAAUAUAGGAAUAAAGGAAUACCUUCAAUGCUAAAUCUAAUAUGCAGAAUUUCUACGAGGUGCCUAAGUGUUCACCCUCCAACAUUGAUCCACACAGGAACUGGGUUCAAGACUCUAACUCCAAAGAACUUGAUCCUGGAGGCUGGAUUCUUCCAAAGAACUCAAUUGGCUUGCUUUCCUUGCUUUCUAAUUUUCUUUCUCUUUCUAAAUCUCCUUCUAAGCUUUUUGUCCUAAAGAAGACCUCCUUGUCUUGGCUUAGGACAAACUAGGAAAGAGAUGUUAGAAAGAAAGAAUACUUGUAAGAAAGAAGGAUAUGAAAGAGAGUUUGUUUGGAAUGCGGAUGAUUAAAAACCCCGGAAGCGCACUCCUAUUUAUAGUUGGCAUGGGGAUGCAUCACCAAAGAAUGCAUCCCAUCCACAUGCCUCAUCAUGAGGAGGCAUGUGAUAAGAAGGGGCGCCCAUAAGGAGGAGACGUAUCCAAGGAUGGGGUGCUAUCAAAUAAAAGGAGACGUAUUAGAUAAGUAUGAAACACGUAUCAGACAAGAAGUUAGUUGUGUUUCAUCCUUAUCUAACCAAGAGGCGCCUCUUCAUGAUACGUUAAUUCAAUUCAUGCGCUCGAAAUGCUUCUCACACCAUCAUCCUCACGCCAUUCAUUGGUUAUCUCAUCAUCCAACAGUUGAUGAUGAUCCAAGGGUUCAAAUCCAAAGCGCCUCACCUUAAUCCCAUUAUGUCUUCAUCCAACGGCUGAUGAAGAUCCAAUGGUUAUGAGUGAAGGCUCUAUAUAACCCAAUCUAAUUAGGUUCAAACCAACUCACCAUUAUGUCUUCAUCUAACAAUUGAUGAAGAUCUAAUGGUCAAAAAUGAAUGAGUCAUUAAACCUAAUCCAAUUAGGUUCAAACCAAGCCAAUUAGGUGCCAACUCUUGACCAACCCAAACCAGGAUAUGAUCUAAUCAAAUUAGAUUAAUCCAAAUCAAGAAUUAGAUUCGAAUCCAAUUCAAAUCAGGAGCUAGGAUUUGCAACACGUGCUAGCAUGUUCAUCUUACAAACAUGUUCUAAUCUAAUUAGAGCCUUUAUCAGUUCCCUUGUGUGUGACCCAUUGGGUUCCAUACCUAGCCAUUAGUAGGUGCGGGUGCUAGUUGUCCUAACUUGAUUAUAACUCUUCUAAUUGAUUUAGGUCUAAACUGUGCGAACUCGAACUUAACAAUUAGAACCCUUUCUAAUUGGUGAUCGAAUUAAACUCUUUAAUUCAAUCAAACCUACAAGACAAGAUUGACGUCUAGCAAUGUAUCAUGUCUAUCCGGAAGAUAUGGAAUUUGGUGGAAAUACCAAACGUACCCUUCAGUGGCAAGUUAUCGUGCAAUUCAAUCCUUCAAUCAUACUGCAUCCUGAAUAUGUAUACGAGUGUGGAUCUAUGUCAAACUCAAUUACAUAUUCAUGUCUCUCUCAAUCUUCUAAUGAUAAUUCGAACAAUGAAACAUUAGAAACUCUUUCUAAUUUUCAUUCUACUUUGAUCAAAGAUUUUCUGAAUUAUCAUAUGAUUAAAGUAAGUAGGAUGCAGUCUACUCUUACUAGAAGUGAUUGAUUCUUUGUUGACCUACCCAUAACCUUCGUGCACAAUUUACCAUAUCCAGAAGACUCCGUACAUAACUUAUUGUCAUAAAUGAGUGUAAACCAAAACAUGGAUUCAUAUGCACAAGAUACCAUGGUGAUCUCAGGUCAAAGGAUCAGUUGCACAACUCUCACAAAGAGAAUCAUCUUUUAACAUAUAAGUAAGACUCCAUAAGAUAUUCUUUUGGCAACUCAUUUCUCUAAUGAGCCCCUAAAUCUUUGUAUUAGUGUCUCCACAUAAGUGACUAUGAGAUCAAUUACUCUCUGCAUCGAGCAUACAUAAGAUGUGCCAGUCUUACUGGUAGCAUUGAUCCUUGACUCAAUGUACCAAAACUGAAAAUAUCUUAGAUUAGGGUUUUAGAAUUUUAGGUCUCAUUGGCAUGAUCUCAUCAUAGCCCUAAAACCAUUGCCCUAAUCUAUGGGGUUCAUCAUAAAUAUAAGAUGCAGUAAAUGAUGAAAUAUAAUGCCUUUUAUUUAUAAUCAAAAUGUCAUGUACAUGAUCUGAAAAAACAAAAGAAACCCUAUCGCAAUACAGAUUGUGGUUGGCUUUUAGGGCACUAUUCUUUCAUUCUCCCACUUGCACUAAAGCCAAUCGUCCUUAAACUUUAACCCUAUACAAUCAAGCUGGCGAUCAAACUGCUGUUGAGGUAAAGCUUUAGUGAAUAGAUCUGCUAGGUUGUUCUUUGUAUCUAUUCGUUCAAUCAUGAUAUCUUGUCUCUCGACAAUCUCUCGAACAAGGUGGAAGCGUCUUAGAAUGUGCUUGGAUUUGUGAUGAGAUCUUGGUUCUUUCGCCAGACCGCUUUCUUAGCAGCUUCACUUAUAGCAAUGUAUUCUGCCUCAGUGACUGAGUCAGCUACAGUUUGCUGCUUGAAACUCUUUCAACUCACUGCACCACCAUACAGGGUAAAGAUAUACCCUAAAAUGGACUUGCUAUCAUCUGGUCUGACUGAAAACUAGAAUCAAAAUAUCCUUCUAGUUUCAACUCAGAUCCUCCAUAUACUAGAAAACCAUCUUUAGUCCUUCUCAAGUAGUUAAGAAUGCUUUUCACUGCUUUCCAAUGAUCAUCUCCUGGAUCAGCCUGAAACUUGCUUGCUAUGCUGAAGGCAUAAGCAACAUCAGGCCUGGUACAUAGCAUAACAUACAUAAUUGAUCCUAUUGCUGAAGCAUAGAGAAUAAAUUAAUUCUAUUCCUUUCUUCAGGUGUCUUAGGAGACAUCUUCUUAGAGAGACGUAUGCCAUGACCUAUGGGUAAGUAACUUUUUUUACUUCCAUCAAUGCUAAAUCUUUUCAGCACAUGAUCUAUGUACCUAGACUGGGACAAGCCUAGCAUCCUUUUAGAUCUAUCCCUAUAGAUCUUUAUACCAAGUAUAUAGGAUGCUUCACCCAAGUCUUUCAUGGAAAACAUUUUUGAUAGCCAAGUCUUGAUCGAUUACAUCAUUGGAAUAUCAUUUCCAAUGAUGUGUAUGUCAUCUACAUACAAAAUUAAGAAGACAAUGGCACUCCUACUUGUCUUCUUAUACACAUAAGAUUCAUCCAUAUUUUUGAUAAAGCCAAACUCUUUGACUGUCAUAUCAAAAUGGAUGUUCCAACUCCUCGACGCUUGCUUUAAUUCAUAAAUGGAUUUCUUAAGCUUGCAUACUUUAUUUGUUCUUUCACUUGAAACAAAUCCUUCUGGCUGAGUCAUAUAAAUCUCUUCCUUAAGAUAACUAUUAAGGAAGGUGGUUUUGACAUCCAUCUGCCAGAUUUUAUAAUUAUAGUAUGCAGCUAUUGCAAGCAAAAUUCGAAUAAAUUUAAGCAUGGCAACUGGCAAAAAAGUUUCAUCAUAGUCAAUUUCUUACCUUUGCCUGAAAUCUUUUGCCACCAAUCUGGCCUUAUAGGUUUCUACUUGGCCAUCUGCUCCAAUAUUUUUCUUAUAGACCCACUUGCAACCUAUAGGAUUUACACCCUCUAGUGCAUUAACCAAAGUCCAUACUUGGUUGGUGUACGUUGAGUCUAUUUCAGAUUUCAUGGCCUCUAGCCAUUUGUCAGAGUCCCUACUCAUGAUAGCUUCAAAAUAGGUCAGAGGAUCAUCGUUCUCAAUGAUGUGGGCUUCAUCAUUCUCAAUAAUAAAUCCAUACCUCUCAGGUGCUCUUCGCACUCUAACCUACCUUCGGAGAGAAGAUGUGUGUGGUUGUACCUCAUCCAUGGGUAUAUCUGGUUGAGGAAUAUCUUGUGUCUCCAUUUGUAGGUCUUGAACUUCUUCAAGUUCAAUUCUCCUAUCUUUGCCCUUUUCUAGGAUAAAUUCUUUCUCCAAGAAAGUGGCAUGCUUACUAACAAAAAUCUUUGUUCAGUAAGAUGAUAGAAGAGAUAUCCUAUACUCUCUUUAGGAUAACCUACAAAUACACACUUAUCUGAUCUAGCACUUAGCUUGUGUCUAAAAUUUCUUUUGACAUAAGCUUGACAGCCCCAUACCUUAAGGUACUUAAGAUUUGGCUUCUUACCUCUCCAUAUCUUAUAUGGAGUGCUAGAUACAGAUUUAGACGGUACCCUGUUUAAUACAUAUGCAGUAGUCUCUAGGACAAAACCCCAGAAGAAAAUAGAAAGGUCUGUAAAACACAUCAUGGAUCGUACCAUAUUUAAUAGAGUACGAUUACUUUUUUCUGCUACACCAUUUAACUAUGGCGUAUACGGAGGUGUCUAUUCAGAGAGAACAUCCUUUUUCUUAAGAUGAUUUAAAAACUCACUAGAAAGGUAUUCACCUCUUCGAUCUGAUCGAAGGAUUUUAAUACUCUUUCCAGUUUGUUUUUCCACCAUACUUUGAUACUCUUUAAACUUAUCAAAGGUUUCAUAUUUAUGUUUCAUAAGAUACACAUAUCCGAACUUUGAUAAAUCAUCAGUGCAUGUGAUGAAGUAAGAGUAUCCACAUCUAGCUGGAGUUGUCAUAGGACCACAUACAUCUGUAUGCACAAGUCCUAAUAACUCACUUGCCCUUUCUCCAUGUCCAGUGAAUGGAGAUUUGGUCAUUUUUUUUAUAAGACAAGAUUCACAAGUUCCUAAUGAUUCAUAAGGAUCAAAGAACUCUUCUUUGUGCAACUUGUUUAUUCUCGAUUCAUUUAUGUGACCAAGUCGGCAAUGCCAAAGGAGGGUAUUAUUCACCUUUUCUCUCUUCCUUUUGUUGCUUUUAUCAAUAUGAUAGACAUUGUCAUUAAGAAACAGAACUAGAAGACCAUUUUCCAUAAUGCCAUUGCAAUAAAAUUCAUUAGAAAAAGAAAUAGAGCAAACAUUGCUCUUUACAUUAAUUUCAAAUCCUUCCUUUAAUAAUAAAGGAAUAGAAAUUAUAUUUCUAAUAAUUUUUGGUAUAUAAUAACAGUUUUUCAUCUCCAAGAGCUUGCUCGAUGGCAACUCCAAUCUGUAGGUUCUAACAGCUUCAGCUUGGAUGGACUCUUCUCCAGCGCAAUAAAGCUCAAAGUCACCUUUCUUCAAACUUUUAAUUCUCUGUAGUCCAUGCAAUGACUUGCAUAUAUGAGAACCACAGCCGGUAUCCAAUAUUCAUGAAUUUGAAUUUGAAGAACUUAAUGACAAACCGGCAUGUAACAUAAACAUACCUUUUGACGCAACUUUUGCAUCAGGCUUUACAGUUGCAAGAAAACUCCUGCAAUUCCUUUUCUAGUGGCCUUCCUUGCCGCAAUGGAAACAGGUACUUGAUCCGGAGAUUUUCUUUCCUUUCUUCCUCUUCAUCUUGCUACUUUUAUGGUUCAAUCUUUUCUUAGAACCCUUACUGCUUGACCUCCUUUUAUCUAUAAGGAGUGGACCCUUAUCUUUCUUAAUAUGGGUCUCGGCUAUCUUGAGCAUAUUCAACAGCUCGGGUAAAGAGGUCUUCAGUUUGUUCAUGUGAUAAUUCACAACAAACUGAGAGAAGGAUUUAGGGAGUGACUGCAGGAUCAAAUUCUGAAUUAGCUCACCAUCCAUAGCAAAACCUAAUUGACUCAAUCUAGUGAUCUAGUCAAUAACCAUAAGAACAUGGUUUUGCACGAAUGUCCCUUCAUUCAUCCUUGCACGGAAUAAUUGCUUAGAUAUCUCAUAUCUAGCAGUUCUACUCUGCUCUACAUACAGCUCCUUUAUAUUGAGAAGUAUAGAAAAAGUAUUCAUGCUAUCAUGCUGCCUUUACAAUUCAUUACUCAUGGAGGCCAGCAUGAUACACUUGACAGUUAAACUGUCAUUCUUCCACAUCUUGUGUGUGGCAACCUCUUCUUCAGUAGCAUCAUCCCUUAUCAUUCCAAGAUUAGGGGUUUCAAGGAUGUAAGAAAGUUUCUCCAUAUAGUUUGGACCGGUCAACUUGUUGGCAUCCAAGAUGCCUCUCAGUGAUAGUGAAGAAGCUAUUAAUUCAUAAUUAAUUCUACAUAAGCAAAGAACAAAACUAAUAUAAGCAGACCAAUCAUUAUGACAUACAUACAAUUAGAUAAGGACUUUUAUCUAAUUGUUACUUCCACUAUUUUAUUGAAUAUCAUAGCUCUCCUAUGAUAAACGAGAAAAUUCUAAUUGAUUUUCUUAGUGGGGUUGAGAUCCUAAUUCCUCAUAAAAGCCUUGUGUUAGCACAACAAACUUUUAUGAGUUCAAAGGUAGAAAACUUUUUUCAAUUGCAUCUCAUGCAAUUCUCAACAUUAUCUUGUCCUCUAAAAUACUUAUAACCUUGUGUUAGCACAACAAACUAUAAUGUUUUAGUUAAGUCAGACCCUUCAUUUUCAUACAGUCAUAUUUGAAUAAUGCUGCUCUUGUGUUAGCACAACAAAGCAACAUAUUAAGAUGUCAUAAGCAUCUUAAUGCACCAAGACAAUAUUAUAUCAGUCUCCAUAGCAAGCCUUGUGUUAGCACAACAAACUAGCAUGGAUCUUGACAAAAUAGUGUCGAGGCAUGAAGGAAGGCUAGGAGUAGUGUUUUUCAACAUUAAGCUAUUCAUAAAAGAUAAUUAACCAAAUUGGCCAGGUAAGUAGGUGGGAGGCUCUCCAUGCUUUUGCAACGGUCCUAAUUAAGUAACCACCUUUGACACUUUCCUAGACACCAAUUGAUCAAUUGAUCCAGAAUGAGUCAGCUUAAAGUAUUUUGCACUACUACUUGAUAUAAUUUUUAUGAGGGCUUUAUGGUCUCUUGCACAUUCUAUAAAUGUAACAUAUACAUACAUAGCAUUCCUAUAGACAUACUACAACAUAUAACAUUGCAUCUCAUAGCAUAUAACAAUCAUAUAAUAUUGCUAUCUCAUAGCAAAUAUGAAUCCUACAACAUGCAUGAUCAUUUGAUUGAACCAAUAGAGGUUGUCUCUGAUACAACUGUAGGGUUUCAUAGCGAUGUAGAGGUGUAGCGGAAGUGCGGGAUUUCAAAGAAUUUCUUAAUAAAAUCUNNNNNNNNNNNNNNNNNNNNCCAAUAGAGGUUGUCUCUGAUACAACUGUAGGGUUUCAUAGCGAUGUAGAGGUGUAGCGGAAGUGCGGGAUUUCAAAGAAUUUCUUAAUAAAAUCUCGUUACAUCAAACCCUAAUGAGCCAAGAUCACCUUAAUGGUAACAAUCAAACAAAUAAAUAUAAAUAUAGGAAUAAAGGAAUACCUUCAACGCUAAAUCCAAUAUGCAGAAUUUCCACGAGGUGUCCAAGUGUUCACCCUCCAAUGUUGAUCUACAUAGGACUUGGGUUCAAGACUCUAACUCCAAAGAACUUGAUCCUUGAUGCUGAAUUCUUCCAAAGAACUCAAUUGGCUUGCUUUCCUUGCUUUCUAAUUUUCUUCCUCUUUCUAAAUCUUUUAAGCGUUUUGUCCUAAAGGAGACCUCCUUGUCUUGGCUUAGGACAAACUAGGAAAGAGAUGUUAGAAAGAAAGAAUACUUGUAAGAAAGAAGGAUAAGAGAGAGAGUUGGUUUGGAAUGCGGAUGAUUAAAAACCCCGGGAGCGCACUCCUAUUUAUAGUUGGCAUGGGGAUGCAUCACCAAAAGAUGCAUCCCAUCCAAAUGCCUCAUCAUGAGGAGGCGUGCGAUUAGGAGGCGCACCCAUAAGGAGGAGACGUAUCCAAAGAUGGGGCGCUAUCAAAUAAAAGGAGAUGUAUUAGAUAAGUAUGAAACGCCUAUCAGUUAAGAAGUUAGUUGUGUUUCAUCCUUAUCCAACCAAGAGGCGCCUCUUCAUGAUACGCUAAUUCAAUUCAUGCACUCAAAAUGCUUCUCACGCCAUCAUCCUCACGCCAUUCAUUGGUUAUCUCAUCAUCUAACGCAAGGUCCGCCGUACCGGUACCGGUCGGCGUACCGGUGGCCGGCCGGACCGGUACGGUACCGGUCCGGUCCGGUCCGUACCGGCCGGUACCGGUGGUUUCAAAAACCACAGCGCGCGGCGCUGUGGUUCUAAAAAAAAAAAAAUCGUACCGGUGCGAACCGGCCGGUUCGCACCGGUACGAGGCCCGUACCGGUCGGUACGGGCUCUGAACCGGCCGGUACGGGCCCGAACCGACCGGUACGGGUGCGUACCGGCCGGUUGGAUAAAAAACCGGAAAUACCGGUUUUUUAUCCGUUCCGGUACCGGUCUAGGACCGGACCGGUACGUACCGGCCCGUACCGGCCGGUACGGGCCGGUACGGCAUUCCAUGAUCUAACGGUUGAUGAUGAUCCAAGGGUUCAAAUCCAAGGCGCUUCACCUCAAUCCCAUUGUGUCUUCAUCCAACGGCUGAUGAAGAUCCAAUGGUCCAAAUCCAAGGCGCCUCACCUCAAUCCCAUUGUAUCUUCAUCCAACGGCUGAUGAAGAUCCAAUGGUUAUGAGUGAAGGCUCUAUCUAACCCAAUCCAAUUGGGUUCAAAUCAAGGUCCGCCGUAUCGGUAUCGGUCGGCGUACCAGUGGCGGCCCGGACCGGUACGAAAUCGGUCCCGUACCGGACCGGUACGAAAUCGGUCCCGUACCGGUCUGAACCGGUGGCGUACCGGUCCGAACUGGUCCCGUACCGGUCCGAACAAUAAACUACCGGUACCGGAUUUCACGCUGAUCCGAUACCGGUCCCAGGCCGGACCGAUACGGCAGACUAUGGUUCAAACCAACUCACCAUUAUGUCUUCGUCCAACGGUUGAUGAAGAUCUAAUGGUCAAAAGUGAAUGAGUCAUCAAACAUAAUCCAAUUUGGUUCAAACCAAGCCAAUUAGGUGCCAACUCUUGGCCAACCCAAACCAGGAUAUGAUCUAAUCAAAUUAGAUUAAUCCAAAUCAAGAAUCAGAUUCGAAUCCAAUUCAAAUCAGGAGCUAGGGUUUGCAACACAUGCUAGCAUGUUCAUCUUGCAAACAUUGUCUAAUCUAAUUAGAUCCUUGAUCAGUUUUCUUGUGUGUGACCCAUUGGGUUCCAUAUCUAGCCAACAGUAAGUGCAGGAGCUAGUUGUCCUAACUUGAUUAGAACUCUUCUAAUCGAUUUAGGUCAAAACUGUGCGAACCCGAACUUAACAAUUACAACCCUUUCUAAUUAGUGAUCGAAUUAAACUUUUUAAUUCGAUCAAAUCUACAAGAAAAAAUUGAUGUCUAGCAACGUAUCAUGUCUAUCCAAAAGAUAUGAAAUUUGGUGGAAAUACCAAACGUAUCCUUCAGUGGCAAGUUAUCGUGCAAUUCAAUGCUUCAAUCAUACUGCAUCCUGAAUAUGAUACGAGUGUCGAUCUAUGUCAAACUCAAUUACAUAUUCAUGUCUCUCUCAAUCUUCUAAUGAUAAUUCGAAUAAUAAAAUAUUAGAAAUUCUUUCUAAUUUUCAUUCUACUUUAAUCAAAGAUUUUCUGAAUUAUCAUAUGAUUAGAGUAAGUAGGAUGCGGUCUACUCUUAUUAGAAGUGAUUGAUUUCUUGUUGAUCUACUCAUAAUCUUUGUACACAAUUCACCAUAUUCAGAAGACCUACACAAUUUAUUGUCAUGAAUGAGUGUAAACCAAAAUAUGGAUUCAUGUACACAAGAUACCAUGGUGAUCUUAGGUCAAAGGAUCAGUUGCACAACUUCCACUAAGAGAAUCAUCUUUUGACAUAUAAGUAAGACUCCAUAAGAUAUUCUCUUGGCAGGUCAAUUCAGUGCACUCAUUCAUUUAAUGAGCAUCCACAUCUUUGUAUUAGUGUCUCCACACAAGUGACUGUGAGAUCAAUCACCCUCUGCAUCGAGCAUACAUAAGAUGUGCUAGUCUUACCGGUAGCAUUGAUCUCCGACUCAAUGUACCAAAAAAUUAGGAAUAUCUUAGAUUAGGGUCUUAGAGUUUUAGGUCUCACUGGCAUGAUCUCAUCAUAGCCUUAAAACCAUUGCCCUAAUCUAUGGGGUUCAUCACAAAUAUAAGAUACAACAAAUAAUGAAACAUAAUGCCUUUUAUUUAUAAUCAAAAUGUCAUGUACAUGAUCUGAAAAAUAAAAGAAAUUCUAUUGUAAUACAGAUUGCGGUUGGCUUUUAGGGCACUAUUCUUUCAGCGGAAGGAGAUAAGGGCACUCGGGCCGAGGAUGGAGCAUGCUGAGCUUCGGAGACAGAAGGCCGAGGCUCACGUGAUAACUGCUGCGCAGCGACAACAAGAGGCCGAGGAACAGGCGACAAUUGUUGAGCAACAGUGGCGCAAGGCCGAGAAGAAGGCUGCAGUUGCCGAGCAGCGGCUUCGAAGGGCCAGAAAGAAGGUACGGGCAGCUGAAGUUCUGAUUAAGGACAUGCUCGCCCAAAUUCAAGAUAUGGAGGUCGAGCACUCUCAGGCUUGCUCGUCCGCCGUAGGCCGUAUCUUCGAGCUCGAAGCUGCUCUGAAUGGCCAGCGGGACGAAGUUGAGGCCUUGAGGCUGGGGGGCGCGCGACUUGCCUGCGAGGCCGUUAAGAAGUUUCGUCAGUCGGUGGAGUACGUUGACGAGUUGGCAAAGGGGGCUACUAGUGCCAUGAUCCAAGGCUUUAAAAAUUAUCGUGGUCAAGCCCAAUGACUCUGCCUUGCAGUCGACCUUAGUGGCCUUAAGCCGAAUCUGGAUGAGGUUGUUGAAGUGAUCGGGGGUGCCGCAGAAAUCAUCCCCGAAAUUAGGCCAGAGAUCAUCCCCGAAGUCGCCACUGGGACGAAAUCAGAAGCCGUUCUUGAGGCUGGCCUUGAGGUUAGUGUAGAAACCACUCCUGAGGCUACUAUCGGAACGAAAGCCGCUCCUGAGGUCAGUGUAGAGGUCGUUCAAGUCGACUAGCUUUUAUUUUUAUUUUUGUAAAGUCGGCCACCUGGGCCUUUUGUAUUCAACCCAACCUCGAGGUCGGGCUCUCUUGUAUUUGGCCCUUGGCCCUUUUUGAUACCAAUAAAGUAUGCAUUUCUUUCAGCACGCUAUACCUUAGACCAAGUAUUUGUGCUUGUUUUGCUUUGUCUUUGAAAUCUAACUAGGCAUUUGAGCUUGUCCUAUUUUCUGUCUGGUUACCAAAAUUCGAACUGCAUAACUUAAGUUCGGGCCUAUCUUGCGUAGCAGGAGAUAUGUCGGGUGUUUGCCGAAGUCUUCGUGCUCGGCAUUUACUUCCAGCUUGGAGAUAACCCUGCAGUCGAAUGAGCUUGCAGCUCUUUAUUUGAUAUCGCAAGUCACCUUGAACCUGGCUCGAAGGGCGACGUUGGUGAACAAGGAAAACCGAUUUGAGACCAGCUCGAGAAUAGAAAUCCCCUCGAGGAUCGGCACCAGCUGGAGAAUAGAAGUCCGCUCGAGGGUCGGCACCAGCUGGAGAAUAGAAGUCCGCUCGAGGGUCGGCACCAGCUCGAGAAUAGAAAAUGCCCCCAUCUGGAUCAGGGCACCUUGUAGAUUGCUGCGGUGGGGGGAGCUCUUCAGCGGCUCCCUGUUGAUGCCGCAGAGUGCCCUCCACUUAGAUCGGGGGCGUACUUGUAAAUCCUUGUCGUCGCGAGGCUCUUUGGCUCUCGGUCGAUGCUGCAGGGCGUCGCGAGCCGAGCUUGAGGGACGACUUUGCAGAUAGAUCCUGCAGUCGCGAGGCCCUUUGGCUUUCGGUCGAUGCUGCAGGACGUUCCGAGCCGAGCUCGAGGGACGACUUUGCAGAUAGAUCCUGCAAUCGUGAGGCUCUUUGGCUCUCGGUCGAUGCUGCAGGGCAUCCCGAGCCGAGCUCGAGGGAUGACUUUGUAGAUUCGUCGAUAUAUAACUCGUGUUGCGGAGGCAACCGGAACGUGUCGAGCCCAUUAAGGCAUUUAAGAGACGCUUUGGAGAAAUUCUAGAGGGUAACUUUAUUAAUUGACCCGUUCUGGGAUUUAAAAAUCAUGACCUGGAGGGGCUAAAGUUCCAUUCGGGGGUUGUAGCUUACAUCCCGGGUCGUCAGACCCGGAUUGAUGGGGGUGCGGCCUCUUUUCUACCCCCAAAGUCAAGAAGCAGCUAGCAUGUGGGAUGCACGUGUGCGGUGUUGAUGGCGCCCACGUUGAGACGAUUGUCAUUGGGCCCGUUGCACAGCUCCGAGCUCUGUCCCUCAAGCUCCAUUCUGUCGGCUUGGCUACAGACAAACCGACUCAGCAAACCUUGGCGGACAAUCGCUUCAAUCUUAUCAUGGAGCUGGUAACAGUCCUCCGUGUCAUGACCGUGGUCUCUAUGGAAGCGGCAAUAUUUGUCCGAACACUUCCGCGACCCCAAUGGUCGCAUCUUUAGUAGAGGUCGGAUGUAGCCGUGAUCCUUAAUUUCCAUGAGGAUUUCUGUCCGGGAGGAUAUGAGGGGAGUGUACUUUCUGAAACUUUGGAGGGGGGCAUAUUUACCGGACCUCCAGGGGGAUCUGCUUAAUCGACGGUGCUCCUUGUGGCGCUCCGCAACUUGAUCCCGGAGCAUCUGGAUUUGUCGCCCCACUUCCUCGAUUUUCCUAUCGAGCUGAUAGAUGAGGCUCUUACCAGCUGAAGGCUUUGAACAGCUGCGGUAAGAGCUUGGACUUGCUGAGCGAGUAGGUAAAACUACUCUGGCUGGACUUGAGGAAUCUGGUCCGCUGGUGCAGGCGUUGCAGGGGGUGGACUUUGAAGGGAGUGGUCGGGCGAUGGUACCCGGCUACUCGAUGCAUUUGGAGCUCCGUGACUCCUUAAUCUUAUGGUCGCGACUCAGGCCCUUCCUCUAACGCCAAAUGUUGUGGUUCAAAUAUGGCCAGAGGGUGACCAUGCCGAAGGAGUCAAGGGAGCCACUAGAGUGUUGAAGAGGAUGAGAGCCACCUCCCGCAUGACGGUGUACCUGCACAAAGCCUUACUGAUGCUUCCGGUAAGGGUCCUCUGAUGAUCAAGUUAGAGUGGAGCUCAGUUGGUCUAGCCAAAAGUUCCUUAGACGUUACCUGAUGGGACUAUUUAUUGUUCCUGUAGGGGCACCCAAAUGGCGGAGAUAUGGCCCGUUCCCAUCAUGAGUGGGGAUGGCACGCAGCCAGAGUUUGCUUGUGGCGUACGGUGCCAUCCGUCCUUGUAAACGGUAAGGCGUUGACAGUCGUAGCAGGGUAUGGUUGGAGUAGAAAGGCAUUGUCCUUGACUGUCGCUGGCCAUCAAGCAAAACACGGCGCGAAGGUGUUUACAAUGUACGGCCACACAGGUAGGCGUAGGUACGCAAGUGGAUGCGGCUGUUGGCGAGGCUGGGCUCGGUGAGAGGUUACACCACAUAUUUGAUGAGGUCGGCUUAGCUUCCUCAAUAAAGCGCUCCGAGCUGGAGGCUUGAGGUGGGUCGACGAAUACACAAGGCGCCCCAAGCUUGGUUGGGGUGGGUCGGCGAAUACAGAAGACGCCCUGAGCUUGGUCGGGGCGGGUCGGCGAAUACAGGAGGCGCCCCGAGCUUGAUCGGGGCGGGUCGGCGAAUACCUGCUGGCACCUCGAAGACGAAGAAGCUUUUGGGGCAUCCCGAACUCGGGCUCGAGACGUCAUCAUAAGCGUCAGAAGGUUGUUGUAGGUCGCAACAGUGGAGAGAUUCGGUCGAGGUCGACUGUGCCUUCGGCAAAGUCCGAGCUCAGACUGGCUCUUAGCGGAGCCGAUGUGCGGCUCAGUCGGUGCUGGGGCCUAUUUGGCCGAAAUUGGGUAGUCCCAUUGUUGGGAGCAUUGACGAUCUAUUUUGCCCUCCAUCAUAUGCUAAUAAACAUAGGCUUGAUUUAACAUGGAAGAGCAGAUUGUAUAGGAAAUGAAGAUACCUGCUGGGGAAGAAUUUGGUGAUUGGAAUAUUGUAGGAGAUAGAAUAUUUGAGUUUGCAAUAAUAUGUAAUUUAGGAGAUACAUUCUAUAAGAUGAGAAUUGGGCGCUUAGAUAAUUCUAAAGCUGGUAAAGUUUGUUAAAAGCAUAUGCUCUCUCUUCUGGAAUAUGGAGUGCAUGGGUCAUUAAAGUUACAGAAGGAUGGAGCUCAUAUUAUAUAACAUUGGUUAGUGGUUGUUUUGCAGGUGGAUCUCCCUCCCUUUCUCUCAAAAAAGACAUUAGUCAGUGGUAGUUGAUGCAGGUUUUAAGCCCAUAGCUUAAUGAUUUAGCUAUUUCAUGACAUAAAAUACUUACGGGUGUGUGCAUAAAAAAGAAUCAAGAAAGAAUGUACUUAAAGCUAUCUACUUGAAGCGGAAAAGUUAGAGGUUGAAUGAUGUCAAAAAUGGAGUAGAAUGUAGACAUAGUUUCGAUGAAAAUAAUGAAGGCUUUUGUUAUCCUCUUUUUAGAUGAAGUUAUAUUCCUUUAAGAAACCUAAUGACUUUGAAUAUUAUCUUUAUCAAGACUUUAAGUACUGACCAGUACGAGGCGUAUCUUACCAUACCAUUAGGGAACUAGUACUUGGCAUGCUCCCUAUACUGACACUGCUCUUAUAUUAGAUGCUUAAAGAAGGUAACAAAAAAGGAUAUUCUAUGGGUUGAGAUUAUGGCAUUAGCUGGAUAGAAAAUUCUAGAGUUAGUAGGGGGCUUGGUUGCAAGUUUCAAAGUGCUGGCCAUUUCUGUUUUAUGCAGCUCAAAAGACAGUAUCUUAACCUCAUGCUAUUUGUAUAUGGAUGUGGUUCCUUGUUGAUGAAAUGGUUAGAUCUCUGCAUUGGGAUAUGAGUGUUCAUCUCUUAAUUUGAUGACAAUUUACUAGCACAAAGCAAUAAGCUUUCUAUAGAACUUAUGUUUUUUCUGCUUCCUUAGCAAAAGAUUACUCAGCACUGAAGGUUUUCAACGACAGAAAUGAAAACUACAAUGUGCUACCGCAAUUUCUUUCAUUUAAUAAGCUCACUUUUAAGGAUGAAAUAUGUUAAGGACAUGGUGGAUUUGGUAUCCAAAUUAGAGAAAUACUAGCAUUCUGGAGUUCUGCUCUGAACAAGUUUAAGCAGAAGACUUGAAUAUUACGUACUCCAAAAAUUUGUACUUAUUCCUAGAGAUAUCACUGCCCUGCUUACUUGCAUAGGAUACUCUAUCAUUGUCAGCUCCUUAUCCUUAACUUGCAAGCCUAUUCCUGUCUUUAAGUUCUGUGUUAAGGUUCGAUUACUGUAAGUGACGGAUGUCAACCUGGUACCAAACUUAUGUAGAAAUUUUUUGGUCAAAUAUGGGCAAAAGAGGUGCUGCCACCAAGUCUGAAUGGAUAGGAAGUAGAGCAUACUGUCAUCGGUAAAGCAGUUUGAUGUGCAACUGGGUAGCAACGCCCCAAGAUAACACUGGAAUUGAGAAGUUCUAGAAGAAAUAUAAAAAGACAAAACAGAUAUGUGGGACUGCAUUUUUCAGAAAAAUUAUAUGCUAAAGAGCCAAAUUAAAGGACUGUAUGAUACUCUGUCAUUGUUAGGGGAAAAAUCUUUAGUUUUUUCCUCUAACUGAAAAAUUUCUGUAAAAAUAUUUUAGGGAUGCAAGCUGCAUUAAGUUAUUUUCUACGGAAGCAUUGAGAUAUGAACAUAGAUACUUUGAAGACCAUCUCACAUAUAAAAUUUUGAUUCUAUGUUACUUCGUGUAUUGAUUUCUUGAGGAAAGAUUUGGGAGACUUCUUAUAUUGAUUUCACUUGAUCAUAACAUCAGAUAUCUUGUUUUUGUUUCACCUUGAUUUUAUUCUUACAAGCCAGGAACUUACUUGUAUCCUAUAUGCUGCAUGCAGAAAUGGUACAAAUGUGCAUAACAUGUUACUCACCUGCAAAUCCUCUGCAUACAGUCAAAAUGUUCGAGAGGGGGUCUUUGAAGUUGCAAAUCUAAUCUUGCAGCUCUUACCAUCAAAGGAUGGUAUCGUCCUAAGAAGACUUCUGAUGACUGCGGUAUGUGUUGUGACCUAUACAUGACCACACAUCCAUGUUAGUCACUGUUGUAGAAGUUUGCAAGCUUUGAAAUCAGAUUUGUUAUAUUUUAUCUCAAUGUGGCUGUUCUGUUUCCUUUCCCCUACAUUAUAUUUUAGAGCAUAUAACACAUAAACCAGAAACUUGUACACAUGCAUAUAUGAACUUCAAAAUGCAAAUAAGAAAGGGAUAACAUGGGAAAGAGCUCUAACAAGGGCAAACAAUAAAAACCACAGCAUGGUAUUUACUAAAAAUAAAUGUGCAGUAUGUUUUUCUAAAGUGUGAAUUGACUUGUUGUAACAUAUUAAAUAGAACUAUAAAAGAUAUAUAAAAUUUAAAUACUAAUGUCCAGAUGAAGCGUGCUGACAUCCUCAAACAUGAAAAGUUCCAGUAUCUUUUUAUAUCCUGUAUAAUCAUCUACAGAAUGUAAGUGAGGAUAAAGUUGAUGAGUUAAGUGAGGAUAAUCAUCUAGGUAGUUCAGUAGCCACUGCAACUUCAUAGCAGAAUGCUUGAUUUAUAACAAUGAAGCACAAGUAGGCAAAUGAUCUCAAAGGUAGAGGGCAUCAGGCAAUCUUGCAAAAGAUGCAUGUAAUUAUUGUCAGCUUUGCCAUCCUAGAUCUUUCUAUUUUCAGAAUUUGGAAGUCUGAGCUUGCCGGUCGCUUGUCCGUAGCCAUGCAAGUUGUCCACUUUGUGUUUAAUGCAUUUGUUAAUCAGGUAUUGAAGGAGGCUUAGACUAACCUGGUGCUUCUUCCAUUGAACAGGAUGCAACAUCCUUAACUGGAGCAAUGAUUUCUAAAGAUGCAACCUUCAUCCGUCAACAUCUUAGCUGGGCUAUUGCUGAUAUAAUCUGCCACUGGAUGAUUAAGGCUGUUGGAUGGAAUGAAGCACUAGGCCAGCAUAAUCAUCAAGUGAUUGUGGUGAAAGGACAGCAAGAGAGGCAAAUGGACCUACCACCUGCACCUUCUACAUAUGUCUUGCAGAAAGUCCUAAGUGACCGCCGGAUGAAAGUAAUAUUUUACAAGGUGCUGCACGAUGUAAGAGGAGAUCCCAUAUUGAUGCUCAGGUUGUCUUGGAGUUCCUUCACAAUCUUUGUGACAGCUGCAGCACUUGCACUGCAUCGUUUUCUUGUCUACUGCUUAGGGGCACUCUUUACCUCUGUAUCAUUUGUACCGAGGCAUGUUGCUGUCAUGUAGUAAGCUAUUGGAAAAAUAGAGGAAAACCGACUCUUAGUGGUUACAAAAAUGAAAGAUUUCUUUAUGUGCACCUUAACUGUAUGGACAACUAUAGGUAGAUGAUCAAGCCGUCCGAUAUAGAUAGAAGGUGAUAUGAUUGGAAGAUUAAAGUAAGGGAGCUGUAAACUUGGCUGACAAAAUAAUUUGAAAGGAUAUUUACUAAUCUACUCGUUGACAUCAUGUUAACCCACAUGGGACUUGCAUUCGAAGCUUUGAAAUUGAGACAAGCGGCAAUAUUGGUUGUUAUCAUACCUACUGGAUCAUGAUUAGGCGUCCAGUGUCUAUAGAAUAAAAGAGGACAAAAAUAAUUCUAAUGCAUUUUUUACAAUCCUAAUAGUAUCAACAAUGAUUUAAUCCAAUUGCCUUGCCAGCCUUGUCAAGGGUGGGGAACCAAUCUAAAGAAAUUAUGAUGGUUUUUUGUUGGCUUUUAGCCGUAGAGGACUGCUCUCGAUUUGCUAGAGCUUUUUGUGGCUCCCUUCUAGGCUUUCCCCCUUGCCUCUAUUUCGCCUGCAGACACUCGGGACAAUCAUGCUUUUUUUUUGUGACGAGCUCUAUUUAUCACGAUCGAAGCUUUUCAUAUCAGCUUCGAUUCAAAAGAAAGGCGAACUGGGUUGGUUUGGCAGCAAGCAGACCGCACUUUAUCAUAGUAACAAGGGGGCUGUUCGCCUUAACUACUUAAGUACCAAAGCAAAGGCGUUUCAUAAGGGGGUUGUUCACUACAAGCUAUCAGCGUUGUCUUAGAUUGGAUAGCAAUAAAAAAAAAUAAGGUAAGUCGACGUCCAAUCUCACGUUAUAAAGUUGAUGAUUCUCACCAAAAAUUUGAUCGCCGAGUUGGACUAAUUCAAUACGAAUCAGUACCGAGAAGCAUGUGCCCAUCACUCCAGCAAUGGCACUGAGAAUUAAAUAUAGAGUAUCGAUAUCCUUGUGGUUAGUAGAGAACAGCCAUCGGACCGGAUUUGUCAUUAAAGUGUGAAUAAACUUUUCUUCCUUAUCAGAGGGGGGCCCUAUUAGGGGCUGGAAAAAAAAGGUGGGGGGCAGGCCGGCUGCGAUGCUCUUUUCCUCUCCAAAAAAAAGCAAAGGAGGGAGCUAGCUGCUUUAACGUUUAGUAGCCGCCCUUCCCUCGAUUCAUACACAAGGUCACCAGACUCAAAUUCCAAUAAGGUAGUCUUGUUCACUCCAUGCAUUUUAACCAGCUCACUAAUGUCGCCAUUUCAGAUAAGAAAUUUGGUUUGACAUCUCCCUAGUUUGCUCGGCUGAACGAACAGGUCUAAAUGGGUGAUAAGCCGAAGAGGGACAACUAGUCAAGCUCUGACGGACACUGCAGGGGCAGGGUGCGGAUGGGAUGGAUGGAUGAUUUCGAAAGGACAUGGGUUCGGUCGAGCCACUGAAAUAAGAAGGAAACCAUAUAAGAAGGAAAGCAGUUCCUCCUGAAGAUUUGAGUUUUGUAAUAUCUCCACUAUUAAGAUUCUUUUUCUAAAUUUCAAACUUAAGCUUGUGAUGGGGGCCAAAAUGGAUCGUCCUGCUCACAACGAUGGGGCUACUCAAUUUCGGCCAAACAGGCCCCAUGUUGCCCAGUAGACAACCCAAGAGGGGGGUGAAUUGGGUACUAAAUAAAACUUAGAUUUUUUUGGAUUAAUCUAAUGAAAAUUAUGAAAGCUUUCUUGAUUUUAAAUUAAAGAGAUUAAUCAACCUAUAAAGAAAGCAAUAAAGAAGAGAUGCUCAAAAAACCACAACACAAACGUACAGAAUUUUAUAGCUACGUCCACUCCCCAAGCCUCACUUGGAAGUUCACUAUAAUUCCUAUGAUUACAUCCGGUUGUUUUAUAAGCUCACAACCUAACUUAUUGUUUUUACGAGAUCACAACGAACUCGGUCGGUUUUCACAGGCUCACCGACUAGAACCAAUCCGAUUAUUUUUCCAGGCUCACAAUCCAACCCAGUUGGUUUUUUCCAGCUCACCAACCACAACCUUAUAACGUUGGUUUUCACUGGCUCACCAACAAACCUCAAUCCUCUUAGUUCAAUCUUCUGAUUGAAUCAAGUAACUAAAUUAGAGUAUAGGUGUUUAGAAGUUACAGCUUCUAAAAAGGCAGAUUUAACAAUAUAAGCAAUAUGAAAAGGAAGAAGCUCUCAAACAGAUUUGAGCUGAAGGAAAAUGUGGCUUCUCCUUUUCUGAAUCCUCUCUUGAAUAUACCAGUGGUUGAGGAUCAAUAAAUCGAGCCUUGAAUGUGAAGAAUACUUCUGAAAUCGAUGUAGGCGCAAUUAUUCCUCUUUUCUCUUUGAAAAUGCUCUAACUCUUCUUUGGUGGUUGUUAACUUUUAAUCCUCCUGGUUUGUUAUUGUAUUCGUCUCUACUUUAUUUAUAACCACUUUUCAGAGCUUUAAAUUUCGAAAAAUAGCCGUUGGAAGAGGUGAAAGAGCCAUUCUGACAUGACUGUACAGCCUGACAAUAUAUUCGUUGAGAUUGGAGUCGACUCGCGCGACUUGGAGAUGGCUCGGCUGAAAUUGGAGACGACUCAUGUUCUUCGAGAGACGACUCACUCGCGGCAUCUUUAGAAGUACUAUACAGGCGCUCUUCUAGGAGACGGCUCGCGAUAUUCCGGAGUUGACUCGCCAAAAGCGGGAGACGACUCCUUUUUCGAUGAUGACAAAACAUUGAGUAUAUGCAAAUAAAUUUACACAUACUAAGAGUUGAGUCAAAAGAAUAAAAAUGAAUUCAAUCUGAUAAUUUAGUUUAUCCAAAGGUUGAAAGGUAUGAACAAUAAACUUUUAAAACUUAAGGGUCCUCCUUUCACUUGAAAUUGUAAAAGCAUUCAUAAUAUGCACUCAAUUGUUUUGCUCAUACUUACUUAAGUCAUGUACUUGUCAUUUCAUUAUUUACUAUUAAAAAAAAACUUCUCAAUCUGAAUUUAUGCUUUGAUAUAUCAGAGCUCCAUUCAAUCAAUGCAUUCGAGUUUAAUUAACCAAUGUAGCAGAGCAUGAUAAUUUUAAAUUUUAACCAAUGCAUGACCCCAAACAUUUUUUAUUCAUCCCACAUUAAAUUUAAUUCUUCUCUUAAAUUCUUACUUAUUCAUUGCAUACUUCUUCUCCCCCUCAAACAAUGUAUUCUUAUACUAAUUCAUCUCCUAAUUCUUCACCCCCUUUUUGUCAUCAGCAAAAAGAAAAGUUAUUCAUCCAUAGGGGAGUAGAUUUCAUUUAAAUCAGUUAUAAGUAAAAGGAAUACACAAAUUGAAAUUGCUCAGAAGGAAAUUUCAUUUCAUUGCAGAUGUAUUACAAAAGAGUUGUAUUGUAUAUAUAAAAAAAAGGUUUACAUUGAGCACAAGUACACCAAAAUGAAGCUCAAUUCAGUACAUAGUCACUCUGAAAAAGAAGAAGAGGUCUCAUGAUGGCGGGAAGAAUGCCGUCUACUGGUGGAUGGUCUAGAUGAAGAUGCAAGAUCAUUAAAAUAAUGCUCUCACUCAAGUGUGACAUGCUCCAGUGAAGUCAUCAUGGAGGAAAACUUGUUCUUCUGAAGUUUAUGAAACUCACCCAUGUAAUUUAUGAUCCGCUCAGUGGAUCUUUCUCUGAGCAGUGCAGCCUCCUUGGCAAACUCCGAGAUAUCUAUUGGCCUCUCUAACUCAUUGAACCUCUGCUGAAUAUUUUGAGACAUUUGCUCCAGAGCAAUCUGUUUCUCUUGCAGUUGAGAGAUUUGCUCAGAUAAUCUAGUGAAUUCAACUUGAUUUCUUGAGGCCACUUCAUCUGCAAUGCUGCUCACUAGGCUCCUUAUCAGAUCUUCAUUCAAUUAGAAAGGAGUAGAAGCAGAAGCCGGAUGUUGGUGGAGCACAGGUAGAUGAAGAUGGGAUUUGUGUGGAAUUAGAGGGCAAAUUAGUAGGAACAGAAAGAAUAUCUGGAUGUAGAGCAGAAGGGGAAGCAGCAGGGUCUAUGGCUCUCCUAAUCCAGUCACCCUCUACCCGAUGAAAGCCCAUCCUAUAAAGGGUUUUCUCAUCUACAAAAUUAGUAAAACAGAGUGGGCGAGAGGGCUCCCCCUCAGAAAUGGGUUUCGAUUCAAUGCAGAAUCGACAAGAAAAUAUUAUGAUCAUCUGAUUUUGCUCUUUAUAGACUUGACACUUUAUGCAGAUGGAUAAGAUAAUUUAAGGAUAUGUACUGUUGGAAGAAAACUUUUGCAAACAUAAUUAUAAAUUGGGAACAAUUGUAUAGCAUGCAUAGUUAGAUAUUUUCCCUUUUUUCUCCAAGAGUCAUCGAAUAUAACAGUUGUAUGGUAUGCAUUAGAAUUGUUUAAUACAAGUGAAGAUAAUUAAAGGGUAAACUUUUAAGGGUUGGUAUCAAAGACUAGGUUCAUAUCCCGGUUCAUCGAGAUUUUUUGCAUUCUAUUUCUCUGUUCAUAUCUCGGUUCACUGAGAUUUCUCCGCAGGGCUUCCCGGAUUGAUCCAAGCUUAAGUUUAAAAUUUGGAAAAAGAAUCUUAAUAGUGGAGAUAUUACAAAACUCAAAUCUUCAAGAGGAACUGCUUUCCUUCUUAUAUGCUGAAAUAGUGCAUCCAAGAACCAUCAUAAUUUCUUUGGAUUGGUUCCCCUCCCUUGACAAGGCUGGCAAGGCAAUUGGACUGAAUCAUUAUUGAUACUAUUAGGAUUGUAAAAAAUGCAUUAGAAUUAUCUAUUUCCUCCUCUUUUGUUCUAUAGACAUUGGACGCCUAAUCAUGAUCCAGCAGGUAUGAUAACAACCAAUAUAACAACCAAUAUUGCCGCUUAUCUCAGCUUCGAAUGCAAGUCCCACAUGGGUUAACAUGAUGACAGGGAGUGGAUCAGUAAAUAUCCGUUCAAAUUAUUUUGUCUGCCAGAUUUACUGGUCCCUUACUUUAAUCUUCCAAUCAUAUCACCUUCUAUCUAUAUCAGAGGGCUUGAUCGUCUACCUAUAGUUGUCCAUACAGUUAAGGUGCACAUAAAGAAAUCUUUCAUUUUUGUAACCACUAAGAGUCGGUUUUCCUCUAUUUUUCCAAUAGCUUACUACAUGACAGCAACAUGCCUCGGUACAAAUGAUACAGAGGUAAAGAGUGCCCCUAAGCAGUAGACAAGAAAACGAUGCAGUGCAAGUGCUGCAGCUGUCACAAAGAUUGUGAAGGAACUCCAAGACAACCUGAGCAUCAAUAUGGGAUCUCCUCUUACAUCGUGCAGCACCUUGUAAAAUAUUACUUUCAUCCGGCGGUCACUUAGGACUUUCUGCAAGACAUAUGUAGAAGGUGCAGGUGGUAGGUCCAUUUGCCUCUCUUGCUGUCCUUUCACCACAAUCACUUGAUGAUUAUGCUGGCCUAGUGCUUCAUUCCAUCCAACAGCCUUAAUCAUCCAGUGGCAGAUUAUAUCAGCAAUAGCCCAGCUAAGAUGUUGACGGAUGAAGGUUGCAUCUUUAGAAAUCAUUGCUCCAGUUAAGGAUGUUGCAUCCUGUUCAAUGGAAGAAGCACCAGGUUAGUCUAAGCCUCCUUCAAUACCUGAUUAACAAAUGCAUUAAACACAAAGUGGACAACUUGCAUGGCUACGGACAAGCGACCGGCAAGCUCAGACUUCCAAAUUCUGAAAAUAGAAAGAUCUAGGAUGGCAAAGCUGACAAUAAUUACAUGCAUCUUUUGCAAGAUUGCCUGAUGCCCUCUACCUUUGAGAUCAUUUGCCUACUUGUGCUUCAUUGUUAUAAAUCAAGCAUUCUGCUAUGAAGUUGCAGUGGCUACUGAACUACCUAGAUGAUUAUCCUCACUUAACUCAUCAACUUUAUCCUCACUUACAUUCUGUAGAUGAUUAUACAGGAUAUAAAAAGAUACUGGAACUUUUCAUGUUUGAGGAUGUCAGCACGCUUCAUCUGGACAUUAGUAUUUAAAUUUUAUAUAUCUUUUAUAGUUCUAUUUAAUAUGUUACAACAAGUCAAUUCACACUUUAGAAAAACAUACUGCACAUUUAUUUUUAGUAAAUACCAUGCUGUGGUUUUUAUUGUUUGCCCUUGUUAGAGCUCUUUCCCAUGUUAUCCCUUUCUUAUUUGCAUUUUGAAGUUCAUAUAUGCAUGUGUACAAGUUUCUGGUUUAUGUGUUAUAUGCUCUAAAAUAUAAUGUAGGGGAAAGGAAACAGAACAGCCACAUUGAGAUAAAAUAUAACAAAUCUGAUUUCAAAGCUUGCAAACUUCUACAACAGUGACUAACAUGGAUGUGUGGUCAUGUAUAGGUCACAACACAUACCGCAGUCAUCAGAAGUCUUCUUAGGACGAUACCAUCCUUUGAUGGUAAGAGCUGCAAGAUUAGAUUUGCAACUUCAAAGACCCCCUCUCGAACAUUUUGACUGUAUGCAGAGGAUUUGCAGGUGAGUAACAUGUUAUGCACAUUUGUACCAUUUCUGCAUGCAGCAUAUAGGAUACAAGUAAGUUCCUGGCUUGUAAGAAUAAAAUCAAGGUGAAACAAAAACAAGAUAUCUGAUGUUAUGAUCAAGUGAAAUCAAUAUAAGAAGUCUCCCAAAUCUUUCCUCAAGAAAUCAAUACACGAAGUAACAUAGAAUCAAAAUUUUAUAUGUGAGAUGGUCUUCAAAGUAUCUAUGUUCAUAUCUCAAUGCUUCCGUAGAAAAUAACUUAAUGCAGCUUGCAUCCCUAAAAUAUUUUUACAGAAAUUUUUCAGUUAGAGGAAAAAACUAAAGAUUUUUCCCCUAACAAUGACAGAGUAUCAUACAGUCCUUUAAUUUGGCUCUUUAGCAUAUAAUUUUUCUGAAAAAUGCAGUCCCACAUAUCUGUUUUGUCUUUUUAUAUUUCUUCUAGAACUUCUCAAUUCCAGUGUUAUCUUGGGGCGUUGCUACCCAGUUGCACAUCAAACUGCUUUACCGAUGACAGUAUGCUCUACUUCCUAUCCAUUCAGACUUGGUGGCAGCACCUCUUUUGCCCAUAUUUGACCAAAAAAUUUCUACAUAAGUUUGGUACCAGGUUGACAUCCGUCACUUACAGUAAUCGAACCUUAACACAGAACUUAAAGACAGGAAUAGGCUUGCAAGUUAAGGAUAAGGAGCUGACAAUGAUAGAGUAUCCUAUGCAAGUAAGCAGGGCAGUGAUAUCUCUAGGAAUAAGUACAAAUUUUUGGAGUACGUAAUAUUCAAGUCUUCUGCUUAAACUCGUUCAGAGCAGAACUCCAGAAUGCUAGUAUUUCUCUAAUUUGGAUACCAAAGCCACCAUGUCCUCAACAUAUUUCAUCCUUAAAAGUGAGCUUAUUAAAUGAAAUAAAUUGCGGUAGCACAUUGCAGUUUUCAUUUCUGUAGUUGAAAACCUUCAGUGCUGAGUAAUCUUUUGCUAAGGAAGCAGAAAAAAACAAAAGUUCUGUAGAAAGCUUAUUGCUUUGUGCUAGUAAAUUGUCAUCAAAUUAAGAGGAACAAUCAUGUAUUCUUCCACAAGGUUUAUGAGAAAAAUAUCACAGCUUACCUCAUUGAACCUAUUCUCAGAAACAGCAAAAAAAAUUUCCACUGGAAUUCCCUCCUUUUGUUGAAGACAACCUACAUGGGGAGCAUCGAAAAUUGUAAGCCUACUGUUUCUCUAUGCAGAAUAUUUACCAACAGGACAUGAAGGUACAGAAUGAAUCAAUUUCAGUUGGAAGACUCGGUGAACUAUAUCAACAUAUUUAGAGAUGAACACUCAUAUCCCAAUGUAGAGAUCUAACCAUUUCAUCAACAAGGAACCACAUCCAUAUACAAAUAGCAUGAGGUUAAGAUACGUCUUUUGAGCCGCAUAAAACAGAAAAAAAAUAUAUGGCCAGCACUUUGGAACUUGCAACCAAGCCCCCUACUAACUCUAGAAUUUUCCCUAAUAUAGGGAGCAUGCCAAGUACUAGUUCCCUAAUGGUAUAGUAAGAUAUGCCUGGUACUGGUCGGUACUUAAAGUCUUGAUAUAGAUAAUAUUCAAAGUCAUUAGGUUUCUUAAAGGAAUAUAACUUCAUCUAAAAAGAGGAUAACAAAAGCCUUCAUUACUUUCAUCGCAACUAUGUCUACAUUCUACUCCAUUUUUGACAUCAUUCAACCUCUAGCUUUUCCUCUUCAAGUAGAUAGCUUUAAGUACAUUCUUUCUUGAUUCUUUUUUAUGCACACACCCGUUAAGUAUUUUAUGUCAUGAAAUAGCUAAAGCAUUAAGCUAUGGGCUUAAAACCUGCAUCAACUACCACUGACUAAUGUCUUUUUUGAGAGAAAGGGAGGGAGAUCCACCUGCAAAACAACCACUAACCUAAUGUCUUUUAACGACCCAUGCACUCCAUAUUCCAGAAGAGAGAGCAUAUGCUUUUAACAAACUUUACCAGCUUUAGAAUUAUCUAAGUGCCCAAUUCUCAUCUUAUAGAAUGUAACUCCUAAAUUACAUAUUAUCGCAAACUCAAAUAUUCUAUCUCCUACAAUAUUCCAAUCACCAAAUUCUUACCCAGCAGGUAUCUUCAUUUCCUAUACAAUCUGCUCUUCCAUGUUAAAUCAAGUCUAUGUUUAUUAGUAUCAUUCCAUCUCGAUGCUCUCUUCUCAUCCCAAUGAACCCAUAUUAUUUCUUUUUCUAGCGAAAUUUCUUCAUAUAUUUCACACAUUGUUUUUUUCCUUUCAUUCUGUAAAAUUGCCUUUAUGGUUAAGCUCUAGUAACAUUAUCCAAAUUCUCUAUCUAUAUUUAUUAUAUGUAAGUGGUUAUUUUCUGAUGCUAUGCACCAAAGCAUACAUAAUGUAAUAUCUACAUAACUGAAAAAAGAAGUGCUUUUUAAAUGAGGAGCAUGUUUCAAAUCUAUUGGCAAAGAAGCAUAAAACAUGACAAUGAAAAAUAUUGUGCAAGGUUCGCCGUCUCGGUACCGGACCCUAUAUCGGUACCACACUAGCAUAAUAUUGGUACGCUACGAUACAGAAUAUUUUUUUGGUAUACUGAGUAUCCAUAUGCCACCCAUACUGGAUACCGAUAUCAAACCAAUAUGAUACGGUAUGCCCUGUACCGUCCGAUUCAGGCCGGUACGGCAUGCUUUGAUAUUGUGGUUUUUACUCUAUUGUCAAGCCACGCUAAAGAGAAUGCUGACAAUCUUAUUGUUUAAUUAAAAAAAAUGUUCCCUGUGAAACAUCAAUAAGGUGUAAGGUUGCAAAUGGGUCGGGUCGACCCGAGACCCGACCCGCAUAGACCCGACCCGAUCCGAAUUUUAGGACCCGCGGAUCCGGAUCGAGUUCUAAAAUUGGACCCGAAUCAUUUUUUGGGUCAGGUCUGGGUUUACCGGACAGACCCGAAUGGACCCGAAGAGAGAGAGAGGGGGGAAAGCAAAAGAGAGUUUUUUCUUGUGUGUGUGUAGGUCGUGGCACUAUUGGUCCAUCAGGAUUCUCUCUCGAUCUAUUACACUGUUGAUACCUCUGGUGUCUCGGUAGCUGUCUUUUUUUUUCGUUCUGUUUUUUGGUUUUUGUUUUUUUUACUUUUGCAGGGAGGAAGUGAGGGAACACUGAACUGAAUAUGGGUCAUGUGCCAGUUUUCUGCAAUGGAACUGGAUUUUGGAAGAAGGUCUGGGAUUUUUUUUGUCCUCGUGAGAGGGGAGCUGGGAGACACCAAGUUCCGUCCAAUCAGUCAUAUAGAUAAAAAUUAGUGUGAUAUGAAAUUGGCUUGUAGGCCGACUUAGUUAGUAAGUCAUGGGUCAUCUGUUCUGACCGGAGGUCAAUUGCAAGUCUUUCGAGUCAUGGGUCACCCAGCACCUCAUAAUUAUGAUAUGACCAAAUUAAAUUUGCCUAAAUUUUUUUCAAAAAAAAUGGAUCCGAUUCGGACCCGAACCCGAUCCAAAUCCGACCCGGACCCGACUCGACCCGACCCAAUCUUCAACUGGAUCAGGUCUGGGUUCAAAAUUAGGACCCGAACAAAAAACCGGAUCAGAUCGGGAUCACUCAGGAUCCGACCCGACCCAUUUGCACCCCUAAUAAGGUGUGAAAUAAAACCAUACUUGGAGUAGUACAGGUAAAAGAUAAUUGAAGAAUAACAAUAAAAAGCAGAAACCCAAGUUAAAUAAAUCUAGAGGCACCAAACAGAAAAAAGAAAAAGGUAUACCGAGUAUAAGAUUCUCCUCGUAGAAGCUGAAUUAUCAUAAAGAAGUUUCUGGACAACAUAAGGGUAUGCAGAUUGAAAUGUCUUAAAAUUUUGAUCUGCAGCCAGUGCCAAUCCUGAUGAUGAAAACAACUAUAAACAAUCUUAUAAACAUAAUAAUUUGAGUGUGCAUGCCAUGCACAUGUAUUUAUGUGAUGCAUGUGGUUGUCACACAUGUGUGCACUGUGCAUGCCAACACGGGAAUAGAAUAAGCUAACCUUCCAGGGAAGCUAGAGAGCGCAAGAUCAAUGUAUAAUAUGGUGGCAUACGGAAUUGAUACUUAAGUGCUAUGGACCAAAUUUUACCUAGAACCUGCAAAACAUGGGUAACUGUUGGCCACCAGAACAGACAAAUAUCUUUUUUUCAAACAAUUAAGUAAAAUCUGUGUUGUGUAUGCUGAUAUCUAAAUCAAGAAUGAAAAUGAUUAUGCAGGUUGUAUAUCAGAUGACUUAUUAUUGUUGCAUAACAAUCAUUGUAUCAGCAUGCUGAAGUAACAGAUCAUCAUUUGAAAAUGAGUGGAGCAAACAAAAUAGAGGAAUCUAUCUCAUGAGAUCCUACAAGUGACAGGAUACUAUAUAAAUGAAGAAAAAAUGCACAACAAAAUUAAUAUAUAAGAACAAUAUAUAAAUUUGUGAGUCAUGACGUCAAGCUAUUUUAAAGGGUGUUCAGAAAAAAAAAAAGGUUAAAAAUAAUAAGUAAUAUCAACUCAGAAUACCAAUUUAACAUCAUGCCAAGAAUAUAAUUAUCUCAGGUAAAUAAUGAAUAUAAUAUUCAUAGAAAGAAAAGGCUGCACAUGAUUUUUGUGGAUGUGGAAAGUAGUUAUGAUCGAAAAGCCAAAUGAACUUAUUAGAUGGGUAAUCAGAAAAAGGCAUAUUGAAUCGGUAUAUUGAUGAAAUGUUUUCAUGUGGGCAAAAGCAAUGGCAAGUAUAAGAGCUGCUUGUGCAUAGAUGGGGGUGUUUUCUAUGGUAAUAAGCCUUCACCGAUGAUUGGCUUCAAGCCCCAACUUUUUAUUUAUUGUUACAGCCUUACAGGUGUACAAAUCUUUAAAUUUUGAUUUCCCAAAAAACCAACUAGUGCAUGCUAUUUCUAGAUGUUUGUUAAAGUAGCAACAAAUUUGAGUUUUAAAAGAAUAACUGGGUAUGAUAGUUAAAACCAGUGUUACCAAAACAAGCACAUGAAUGAAAUUCAAGGUAUAAAUUUUGGUUUUGGGCCAUGUGUUGGUUGUUCCUCAAGCCAAAGUAUUUCUGGUUUCAUUUCAUGUAACAUAGGUUUCAAUAAAAACGGAUUAAAACUAAAUUUUAAUUCUAAAGGUAAAAUUAAAAAAAGAGCAUGAUGUUUGGUGAAAAGGAAACUGUAUUAGAUGGUAAGUGUAGAAGUCACACACAUGUUAUGGUGGUGCCUUAUAUUUGGAUGUUUUGUGCUGUAAAACAUUUUAAGGAUGUUAUCAUCCUUGUCACUCUAAUAUUCUAAUACUUGUUUGAUCUAAACAAAUGAGUUAUGCCAUAUAUUCUUGCUUCUUUUAGCUUCCAGUGUUAAGUAAAAGAACCUACAAUAGUGUCAUGCUGUUUUAGUCUAAUUCAUGAUUCCAGCCCAGAAUCUAAUGUCCUCAUACAUGCACUUUCAGAACCUUGAUCGAUAUGGAUACAAGACCUUAGCUGACAUUCCAUCCUAACAUAACAAUAAUAAUUCACAUGACACCACAUGAAUGAUAAAAUAGCACGGUGUCAUGACUGUAGAAGAGAAGAAAAAAGUUAGAAACUAUUUUAGUUACUAACGAAAAUUUAAAACAACUUAUACAAGUAACAUAUAGGUCAAAUACUCACCCUACUAAACUUGAUGUCAGGUAUUCCAUCAUUGAAGACUACCUCAUCCAAGGCCUCUUCCAAAUCCUGGGACAUUAAGGAAAGGCAAGAAAACAUAUUGAGCAUAUAUUUUCAUAAAAACUACAGAGGAAUGAAAAAAUAAAGUAUAGUAUGAUGCAGAUCAUUUGCACAACUGUUUGUCUGCAUUAUUAUCUGGAGUACGCUACUGUGCCGAUCUCCAUGCUAAAUUUAGCCUAUGUCAUAUGGUCUGCCGUACCGGUCUGUACCGGCCGGUACGUACCGGUCCGGCCUGGGACCGGUACCGGUCCGGCGUGAAAUCCGGUACCGGAUCAGCGUGAAAUCCGGUACCGGUAAUUUAUUGUUGAAGAACCGGUACGGGACCGGUUCGGACCGAUACGCCACCGGUUCGGACCGGUACGCCACCGGUACGGGACCGGUUUCGUAUCAAUCCGGAACGCCACCGGUACCGAUACGGCGGACCUUGCAUCACACUUUGUACGGAACCUUUUUGGAAUUUAAAUUUAAUCAUUUGCUUAUUUUUCCAGGAGUCUUCCUCCUCAUCACAAACCUUUUAACCAUCAUUACUAUGUAAAAUUAAGACAUCCUUGGAUCAUAUAGUUAAUGAUCAGUAAUUGAAAUUCACUUCCUAAGCAACCUAUAACCAAUUUAACAGAGAAAUUAUGUUUUAUAAGAGCUGAUGCCAACAAAGGCAUUCCAUCAUCAUCAUCCAAGCCUUUUCCCAUGAACACCAGCUACAAAUCAUAGCUCUAAUUAAAGAACACUCUGUAAAAGAUAAUUUUGUCCAACUGGCAAGUGGUGAUAUAAUCAGAAGAAAUUACGAAGUUCAUUUGUAUUUCUCUUGCUGCUAAGAUAUCUAUAAAUGUGUGCAAGGAAAAAUAAGCCAAUUUUAAGCUUUUUGUCGUUUUCUCUAUCAAAACACACGGUGAUCUCAGUGAAUGCGUGAAAAGGAGUAAACUAUGUAUUCAGGUAUGUUAUCUUGUAGCACUUCUUUUAUGGCCUUUUUUUCUCCCUCUUAGAUGCUUGCAGUUUAAUAUUAUAGUUUCCCAUUUAGGUCAUUUCCUUUUGUUCUCUACUUUGUCCCUCUUUUAUCAUACCACUUACUACAAGUCGCAUGUAAGCACAUGCUACAACAAACUGGUCUUCUUUUAGCACCUUGCUAAGAUGUUCAGUUAAAAAGAUGAAAAAAGAAAUUUGGUAAUGAAUGGAAUACCAUUUUCACACGAUGUAGAUUGGUUCCGGGCCUAACAAUAUCCAUCUCAGUCAAAUCAUAAACAAGCGCACCCCAGUCUCCAUUUACUAUGUGCACUAUGAAAGCAAGCAUAGCAAGCUGAUGUUUCUUCUCCAUCCGACAAAGCAAACCAAAAUCAAGAAACCUAAAAAGUUAGGUAAAAAUUAACAAUUCGCACUUCUUAAAGAAACAGAGAGAACAUGAAAAACAAUUUCACUUGAAGCAGAGGAGUAGAGGCCGAGUCGUUCCAAUGAACUACUGCAUCUUUCGGCAGCUGAAGUGAAUCUUCUUGUGCACAACUGGAUAUGAUGCAACUAAAGGCAUCUCCAUUAUUUUUGUUUCACAAAUGAAACUAAGAAUUGCAUAUCUCAUGAAUGAAACAAGUUUGUCAUACCCAAUACAUCCUUCAGGUGUAUAACGCAAGUUCCCGGGAUGAGGAUCAGCAUGUAAUAGGCUGUAUCAAAAAGUUGAACUAGUGUAGCUUCCACUCCUUUAUUAACCUUAAAUUGACACAAACAUGAAAUAGCAUGGUUAUUGGGUUGCAUAGAUAAAUUAAUUGAUCAGAAUCCAUCUUCCAAAAAAUUAACAAAACUAAUAGAUAUAUUGGGUUUGAAGGAGAAUGUCAGUAUUAAAAAAGUAUAGACUAAAUAUCAAUAUCUUGGUUUAAUCAUUUUCAACUCAACUAGAGGGAAUACAUAUAAUUUAUUUUAGACUAAAUAAAAUAGAAAUUCAUAAGAAUUCACUAUUCAGUAUUCAGUUACAUAUCAUCCCAACCUGUAUGAGAAUUUUUAAAUUACACAGACUUUCUAUGGAAACACAUAUGGGUAUGAUUUGUUUAGAAUCACUGAGAAAAUGAGUUUAGAAAUAAUAUGGGUAUGAUUUGCUUGCGAACAAACCUGCGACUGUAAGAUCUAUGGAAACACAUAUGGGUUCCGGGAAGGGAUCCCCAGGUUCAUCAGCUAUCAACAGACAAAUUUUGCUAGGAUGUCAACUAGGAUGGGAAGACCAGGUCCCAAUUCUCAGGGUUGGGGUAUUCCCUCUAUCGAGCCUGCUCAGAUCAGAAUUUAACUUUUUGAUACGCUCUUUUUCCAAUCUGACUUUAAGCAAACUUCAUGGUCAACAUGGGGUGAAUGGAGCGGUUCAUCAAGCCAUUGCUGUCCUCAAACCCUAAUCAGGAAGAGGGGUACUCCACUAAUAGGGGACAAUUGCAUUGAACCUGACUGUGAGGAACCUUGAUAUUUGAAAUAGAGAAAUUAUUCAACUGCUAUGCUCAUUUGGAUUGUGCUAUCUAAUCUGAGUAAAAUGGAGAUUGAUUAAAAAUACUAAAACAGAGAUCAUGUUUCAAGUUUUAUCUCCUAAGAAUCUACACCAAGAAAAUGCAUGAUUUUCUAACCAGAUUCACUAUAAGAACUUAAAAAAGUUAAAUGGUAGUAGUCAUAAGCAGAGAAUGACAAAACAGAGGCACCUACAUUUGCAUGGUCACUCUCUUUCAGUAAUAAAAUACAGGGUGGCAUCUUGCCUCCCUUAUCAUAAGUAGACAAAAAAAAAAAUGCAAAGUCACUUAACAACCCACAUAUAACCACGCAUGCAAUACGAAAGGGUCUAAAUUUGAAGCAAUCCCAUACAAUUUUCUAUUUUUCUUUUUUCCACAAGUUGGACCCACGUACAUUAGUAAAAUAGAAAGAUCCAUUGCAAUUAACCAACAAUUAACAGCCUGAACUCUGAGACAGGACUUAAAUGGCAUGCAUACUUUGUUUCAGGAUAGAAAUAAAUGUAUAACUCCUAAAACAAUAAGUUUUCAAAUAUUGAAAAAAGUAACUAUGCUUGAUUUCAUUAAAAAAUUACACAUACCAUGAAGUUGAGCAGUAAAAAGAAUAAACAUGAAGUUAAAGAUGAAAUUUGAAGUUCGACAAGUAAAAUAUGUAUAUCUUACUCCAUAUUUCUAGAAAUUUUUACUUAUUGACUAGAAAAAUGAAAAUAAGGGGAGGAAGAAUUUUUCUAAAAGAAAAACAAAGAAAGUAUAUCGGAGGGAAUAAAAUAUAUGUUGAUAGAUACUUCAAAUAUAAUUGGAAAAAAAAAGAAGGUUUUCUUCAUCUGAGGUUGCAAGUUUAAAAAUUUUAGUCUCGAUCAAGGCCAAAUAACACAACUAGAAGAGGAAAAAGAUGUACAAAUAAAUUGUAAAACAAGGCCAAAUAACACACCGUACCAGUUGGUACCGGUGUGUACCAACCAUAUCAUAUCGUACCAGUAUCGAAUCGGUAUACAGUAUGAGGGGCAUACCAAGUAUCGAUACGCCCAAGUAACCCCCAUACCAGGCAUACUGACAUAGUAAUAGAUUCGUACUGGUACGGGGUCCAGUACCAAGAUGGCAUAUCUUAUUGCACAAUACAAAAUGACAAGACUUUUGAUUUUAUUUUAAAUAAAAAAUAAAGAAAAGCUUCGUUUGAUCUGCAAAUUAAAAGUCAGUGUAUUUUAGAUACAACUAAGCAAAUCAGCAGACCGAAUCCAGCUAAUCCUAAAAAAAUCAGAUUUUGAGACCUACUGUGUUGACUUUUCAAAGAUAGUAGAAAGUACAUCGUAUACAUCCUCUUCUUAUGACAGAAGAUGACGAAAAAACAUCACCAUUUGACUUAUAUUUAUUACGGGGCAUGAGAGCAGAUAAAAUCAUGGCAUGCGGAUGCUAGUCAAGCUCAUGGUGACAUAGUGUAUCAUGCACAUGAAUACAUGCACAAAUUAUAAUCAAUUAUGUUAACAUAGAUGUUAUGGAAAUGGAGAAAGUAAUUCUACUAGUAAUCAGUGCACACC
rnacentral:lncRNA from 1 species